rnacentral:lncRNA from 1 species
UUCAAGGUUUGCCAUAUCUUAAAGCUGUGAUAAAAGAAACAUUCAGAUUGCAACCAACGGCUCCAUUAUUAGUGCCACGAGAAACAAUUAGGAAGUGCAAUAUAGCCGGGUAUGAAAUACCUGCCAAAACACUAGUUUUCGUGAAUGCAUGGGCAGUAGGAAGAGAUCCUGAAGCUUGGGAAAACCCUGGAGAGUUCUAUCCUGAGAGAUUCAUUGGCAGCUCCAUCGACUUCAAGGGACAUGACUUUGGGCUCAUACCAUUUGGUGCUGGAAGAAGGGGCUGUCCUGGAAUACAUAUGGGAGUUGCAACUGUAGAGCUAGCCCUUGCCAAUCUGCUUUGCAAAUUUGAUUGGGAAAUGCCGGUUGGGACGGACAAGGAUGACUUAGACUUUGAUGUGAUACCUGGUCUUGCUAUGCACAAAAAAAAUGCUCUUUUCCUUGUAGCUAGGAAGUUUAAUGUUUGAUUCGAUCCAUGUAAGGUUAAAUUAGUUUGCUGCUUGCUAUGGUUUGGAGUGUUUCAAUUACAUUUUGUGUUUUGAGUGUAUUUUAUGAUAAAAUCAAUGUCCACAUGUGUUGGUUAUGAAGAGUUAUGGUCUCAUAGACUUGAUUUUGUGGAAGUUAUAACAGAAUUUUGAAGUAGUUAAACCACAACCAAAAAAAUACAAAUUGAGAUUAGAUUUAUUAAUAAAAACCAAAUUUAACCAAUUGAAAUAUUUAAAACAAAAUUCUAUCCAUUUAUUAGGAGUUAAAUUUUGUGACUAUGAUUAAGUCAAGUAAAAAUUCCAUUGUAACUUCCACCAAACUGAAUCCAUGGGAUAAAAACUCUUGAAAUGAUAAUUUUUUUUUCUUACAUAAUUUGUGAGCGUGUUUAAAAAUUCAAUUGAAUUUAUUUAGAUUCUAAUUGCAUCGGACUAUUUAUAUGGAUAUUUAGAUUUAAAAGAUCCGUAAUUUAAUUUAUUUGAGCUUGAAAACCCGAAAGCCAAUGUAUCGCCCAACAAGGACCCAAGUUUUUAUAUUAAUUAAGUUUUAUUCAUUUAAUUUUAAAAAGUAAAUAAAAGGACGAAAAUCGAAAUAAAAAAUUGGUGGCAGUGAUGUGAUGCUGCCGUGAAUGGCACCAUCCGAAGAGAGCGGCUGGGCUGUCGAUUUCAUGCUGCCAGCCUCCCCCUGCAGCUUCACUCUUCCCUCCCGUGAUCACCUUGUUCAGGGUAAUGGUAGCUAAUCCACCGUACUAAGCAACCAAAGUAGAGCUUAACAGGAAAAUCAAAAUUUUUAAUUAAAGUGCAAGUUUGAAAACCAAGAACGCAGAAGAUAGGAUAGCAAAAAUUAUGUAAUUUAAGAAAUUCAAAUAAAAGAUCAAAUAUUUAAAUUUGAAAUUUUAAAAUUUUUAAAAUUAUGAAACUCACCAAAGACAUAGUGGAAUAAAAGACAUAAGCUUUUUAAAUUAUUACUAUAAUUUUUCCAUUAAAUUUAAUUUGUGUUUUAAUAUUUUAUAUUCAAAAUUAUAUGCAUAUUUUUUUUAUCAAAAUUAUAUCCAAUUAAAUAUAUAAUAAUAAAAUAUAUUUCCUAGCAAAAAAAAACUUUUUUUAAAAAAUAAUUACAUUAAUUACAUGAAUCUUAAUUAUAUAUUUGAAUAUUUAUGGCUUAUGGAGCUGAGGUUUGUACUUAUUUGUGUAUUAUCAUUUUGUGAUUUGAUUGAUAGAUUAUAUGCAUUCACUUUGAUACAAAUGAUAAAAUCCAAUCUUGGGGUGUGAGUGAAUUGUUAUAAUCAAAAGAUAGUGGAAUUGAACAUGCUAAUUAAUUAGAAACUGAAUGAGUGUAUGAUAAAAUCCAAUCUUGGGGGGUGAGUGAAUUGUUAUAAUCAAAACGAUAGUGGAAUUGAAAAUGAUAAUUAAUUAGAAACUGAUUGAGUCCAUCUGUUUUAUGCAGCAUCUACCAACUAUGGUUGUCUUGAGAGGUCAUUUGAUCUGUUAGGCAAUAGUUGUGGUAGUAAAAUCCUGAAACUGAACUUCACUUCUAUCAUCCAGACUAGUAUAACUAACUGUCCUUCAUCUUUCUAAAGGGUAAAAAAUCCAGACACUUGUUUUUUAUUUUUAUUAAGUUGUUGUUAUGAUUUAUUUUACAGGUAAUGCUUGGAAUCCUAUGAAGCAUGGACACGGACAUGUUUACGAUAUAAUAUGUAUAUGGUGACAUCAUGACAAUUUGUGAAAAAUAAGGAUAUGGAUAUGGCAAGAUAGAUAAUAAAAAAAGAGUAUUUUUUAUAUAUUAUAAUCAUAUGUUAAAAAUAUAUAAUAGAUAUCGGGUUGAUUUUUAAAGGUCAAUUACCCUUACAAAGAAAAUUUGAUGUAAAUACAGCACUAAAAAAACAUAGGAUGUCCUUAUCCGUACAAGAAUUGUCUUUUUUUUUUUUUUUUCAUCGAAUCCGAUCAAGUUCGAUAUGUAAUGUUUUCCGACAGGUCCAGCUGGUACGUAUGUCGUAAGCAUUAAAGUGUUAACAAUGUAACACAAAUACGCAAGAGGUUCAAACGUAUCCUUACUUCAUAAUUGGAAUCUAAACCAUCCAUGACAAAGUUUGACCUUGUAUAUUUAGAAGUUUUGAGUGCUUCGCUUCUUUCCUGCCAAUUAAUUUUAUGUUCUGUUAAUAGAAGCGAUAAGUUUCGCUCUACAGGCAUUCGGUUUAUAAAAAUGAUAUGUUUCAGUUCACAGGCAUUUGGAUAGGUUGCAUUAUUUGUGGAGACAACAUAACUUUCCAGUAUUUAAAUAUUUAUGGUUUCUUUUUGUUUCAAGUUCUGGUAACCCAGUUCUUGUACUGAAACAGAAUGUGAACAGGGAAAAUAAAGAGAGAAUGAAAAUGACUAACAGAAAACAAAAGUUCUGACGCAAUGGAAAAAUUCCUAAGCUGUAAGGGAUGGUUUUCCUCCAUUAUUGAGCAUGAUACAUGCUAGAAUUGUGAUCCACUGUAGCCAGUUGACAAAUACUGAUAUCCCGACUUAAGAUGUGCAGUUGUUCGAACAUAGCAAUAAUUAUGAGUCGCAUAAAAAAUUCAAGCUACAAAAAUUGCCUAAAAUAAGCUGUGAUGUUUUUUGCAUUCAUUUUGAAGGAAGUACAAUGCUGGGUUUGCAUAAUUUAUGAGACAAUAUUUGGAGUAGCAUGCUGAUUCAGUUUAGACUCCUUAAAGAUUGUCAGGCUCGUUUCACAUGAAGAAGUUGAUCUGAAAUUCUGCAGAAUAAAUUGAGCAUAGUUAUUUAUAAGCUUCUGCAGAAUAAAUGGAUGCUUGAGUUUGUGUUCUUUUAUGUCAAGACAUAGGACAUCCCCCUGAUUUGAUGAUUGAAAUGAGCUCCUCAAACCAAUACUUGUGCUUAGCAGCUGGAACACUUUGCCUCGAUCAACGUAGAUGUUUCUUUACGCCAACCCAGAGUGCUUAUAAAGAUCUAAGAAGCAUAUAAAAAUGUUUAGUGCCUACUAUAAAUAGUUAAAAUUCAUACAUAAAGGCAAACAGUUCUCCAAGCAAGUAUAAAAGAAAACCACAUGAAGCUCUGUUGCUUUACAUUGUUUAUCAUAUAACCUCAGGUUCGUCAAAAGCUCAAUCCAGACAAAGAUUUUCAUUUGUGGCUCCAACAAACUGAAAGAAACUAUCAUCGGAAAAAACAAAGACUUUUGAUCAAUGUUUUAUGGAUCGGAUAUGUUAUGUCAUCAAUAUGAAGAAUUGUGCUAGAGUGGAAUGAAACUUCUAAACAUUAUUGCACAACAGAAUGAUAUUACAAAGAAUUUUAACACUGUUACAUUUCGAAUAUCAAUUUUGCAUUUGUAGAAGGCCCUAGCUCAGCCAAAUUUACCUGCUUGAUGCAGUUCUUACCCUAUCUUAUCAUUUAUGUUUGCACUGCUGACACAGAAAAGAUUUCUGUUGUAGGAAAGGAGCUGCUGCCCUAAGAACUUCGAAACCACCAAUGAAUUGAAGUUAUUUCGUCAUGUCAGACAAGUUCCACAACAUCAGAUUUUUGUUUUGAAGCAUUUGGAAUAAAAAUGGCAGUACCAAAAAGGGGAGAAAAAAAAAGGAGAGAAAGGAAUCCUAACAAGGCUGGAAAUUUUCAUUAUGCUAAGUAUUAUGAUUUCUUAUAAUAUAUGGUUUCUGAUCAUAAACAAGGAACCUAUAUACUCAAAGAGUAUGAUAUAUGGGCUAUGGAUGGUGGAACACGAUUCACGGGUAUGGAAUGUUCAAGGCACUUAUUGCCGGUUCUGGAAGACCACCUUAUUCAGUUUAAAAGACAAAAUUAUGGUAAAUUAAACAUAAAAUAUAAAAGAUUUUCCUUCACUAUAAAAGAAGAACCUUUCAAAAUGAUUUCAGAACCCUGGAAAUAACUAAUUUUUUUGGCAGUCUGUGUAUAGUUGUAACAUUACCACUUUCAUAGGAAACAAUGUUUCCCUUGGGGGAAUUUUGGCGCCACUGACACUGUCCUCACUCCCAAGUCGGGCAAUAAAUCUUUAAUAUCUCAUCAUUUAAAAGAAAUUGAGUUCUCAAUGGGUUUGACGCAGAGAUUUUGGUAGACUCAUUCAGGCUGCCAUAGGGUCAAUUUGACAGCAGUGAAGGCAAUGCAUGCUUCAGCUAAGUAAACAGCAUUCUUCUUUUUCAGGUCUUUCCAUCCGCUUUUGCAAACCACUUUGUGUGCUCCUAAGAAGGCACUACUCACUAGUCUCUGCGAGUCACUGAAACCAGAAUUAGAUAUCAAAUAAAUCUUCAAGCAUAUAAGAAGAUAACAAACAUUUAAUAAUUGAAACUAUUCUUGAAUGAUUAUGCCAAAAAAAAAAUCAGAAGUCAAUGAAACAAAAUGAUUAAUAGAUAUAAACAUUUAACAUAUCUGUUCUGUUCUUGAAAUUGUCCUAUAGGGAAUUUUUACCAGAAGACUGAAAGAAAUAUGUUUCAUAGACUACAAAAAAGAAUUUUCUAAAGUUUUCUAACUUUUAGUAAACAAUCCAAUGCCAUAGUUACUCAGUCUUUUCUGUGACCAAUCACAGGUAUGGCAGAAGGAAGUACACAUAAAGAAAAGCCAAAGACAUGAGGAUAUCAUGAAUGAGUCAUUAACAUAAGAAAAAAAUAUAUAUAGAAAUAAACUAUAAGACCUACUCAUUCUGAAACUAUUCCUAAAUUUUCUUUUAAAAUGGUAGCAAAACAUUGAAUCCAUGUAUCAAACCUGGAGAGAACCAUCUGCAAGUUCCAAUAACUUCUAAAUUAAAUCAUUAUACUCCAUGACGGAAGGAAGAACUUCUUUCUCAAUUCUGCAAAUAUAGAUUACACUACAAUCAAAAGUUUUGCAUAAAAGAGAUUCACUCGUUUCUAACAAAUGAGCUUCAAAAAUACCUGUCCCCAAUUUAAUAACCAGGAUUUUAUCAAUGCUUAAACUUAAAAGGUUAAAGUCUGAAUUUGAUUCCUUUACUACCUCAAUCCUAUCGGUUUAGUCCAACUUCAAUUUUAAUGAAUUUAGUCCAUGUAGUUUUAUUAAACAUAGAUUUUUUAUACAUAUUUCAUUUCAUUGUAAAACAAAAAGCUAUGUGUGUAAUGGAUUGAACUAGUGAACAUUCUAUUAUGAAAUAAAAAAAAUAAUAAUCAAGAAUAUAAAUCACUUGAGCACUUGAUUUAAUAGUACGUUCAUGUUCUUCAAAUAAGUAGCAUAUAAUUGCAAAGUUGACAUACACCUGAUUUCUGGGCGUUUCUUCCGGUAACAAAUUAGCAAUUAGAAUGCAAGGAAUGUGGGCUAUUUUGGGCCACUCUUGUCCUUCAUCCUCCUUGCAUCGUUCUCUUAGCAGUGGACAGUCAACAAUAUCUAGUUGCAAAAGUGAGUCAAACAUCUCCUUUUCCGGAAGGAAUUUGAUCACGGGGCAGCUUCGGAUUUCCAAUGAUUCAAGAAAUUUGAGAUUUUGAAAGCCUUUGGAGGAUAGAGUUUCCAGGUUUGGAAAACCGAAGAUUGUGAGGGAGGUGAGAGUGCGGGGCAGAAGCAUUUCCUCACAUGGGAAAGACACCACAUCUAGAGAAGCACCGUUGAUGGACAAAUGUUUAAGGGAGGUGAGUUUGUGCAAACCCCACUCGAUCACUGACUUGCAAAUAUUGGGUUGCAAGAUUGUAAGUGAAGUGAGAUUGGGAGGGAACCCCUCUUCCGGAAAUGAUAUCACACUUGGACAAUCAAAUAUGAGCAAUUCUCGCAUAGAGACGAUGUUGUGGAUGCAUUUAGGUAAGGCAUGGAGUUUUUCACACCGAGAAAGGCUAAGAUAUCUGAGCUUGUUUAAUUCACGAGGCAAAGAUCUCAAAUUAUCACAACCGCAGAUAACCAUCGAUUCAAGGGAAGAGUUCUCUUCAAUUUCUUGAGCUAUGGACUCUAGUGCUCUGCAUCUUCUUAUAUCGAGGUAUUUAAGCCCCAUAGGUAACUUGCCAUUGGAUGACAAGGAUGCCAACUUUUCACAACCAUAAAUGUCAACAUGUUGAAGCCUAAUAGGUAACUCGCCCCUUGAGGAUAAAGAUAUCAGAGACUUACAAUUUUCAAUCACCAAGUGCUCUAGAAGAGGCGUGCUGUUGAUGUUGUUAUUUACUCCAUCCAGCAAGUACUGCAAAUUCUCACACUCCUUAAUGGUUAAACGUCUUACGUUUGGAGGCAAGUUUCCAUUUGAAAUUGAAAUCAAUCUUGGGCAUCCCUCAAUUCCUAGCACCGUAAGGGAUCUGUAGCUGUGUAGGCUUUCUGCUAACCUUUCUAGCCUUUCACAACAGUGUAUGCUCAAAUGUUCAAUAUGGCAAGGGAUUCCUAACUGCAUAUGCUCUUCCUUUCCGUCCUCUGCCCCUAUGGAAACAAGUCUUGAGCAAUUAUGAAUUUCCAAAAAGCGAGUAGGCCUCAAAUGUGUUGAGGGUCCUUCCUGGUUCCGCCAUGAAGAAAUUAGCUCCUCACAUCCACAUAUAUAAAAAGACGUUCAGCUUUUAUCAACCCUAACAUCAUCCCCUCCAUUGGAGAAGUGAAUUUUGAAAUGUCUGAAAGAGAGACUCUUUCAAUGAAUGAGCCAGAAUUUGCACAACUUGUAGACGACACCUCUUGGCACCCAUUAAUUUCCAAGUCAGACAACUUUGGAAGGCUUGAGAGUGAAACUACCAACUUCUCACAUUCUUGAAUCACAAGUCUCUCCAAUGAAGGAAGACAACUAGGUAGACUUCUCAGCUGUUGACACAAAUUAAUCUUCAGCUUCUUCAAGGAAGGAAGACGAUUAGGUAAACUUCCUAACAACUUGGGGCAAUUUGAAAUGAUGAGCUCAUGAAGGUGUUGGAAACUCCUUACAUUUUCAUCAACUUCACAGGGAUCCCAUUCCUCCCAUUCUGGCAUGUCCUGAAAACGUAAUCUCUCUAGUGACGGAAAUGCAUUAAUCGAUAGAUCCUUUCCAAAAAUAUUAGCACCCACUUUUUUAACCUUACUCAUCCUCCGGAUAGAAAGCGAUUUUAGCGACGUUAAUCUUCCAACAGCUGGUAAUAAUGUGCAAUUUGGACAGUAAUACAGAUCCAGAAUCGAUAGCUUUCCAAAUGAAGGAUCUCCGAACCAAUUUGGGAAUGUUUCACCUCCAUAACAUUCGAUGGUAAGCCUUUCAAGCAUUUUAGGAGGUUGGAGUGAAUCCAAGAUGUCCUUGUGAAUUUCUUCUCCGGCGAAAUUAUAACUCCACUCUAAAGCUAAAUCACGAAGGUUCGACUUAUAACAUAACCCAGCCACCCAUGCAUCUUGAGCUUUGACAACAUUCUGCAAUUCUGAAAUAACAAGUCCACCCUUAAGAUUAGACAAAUUCUCCAUCUCCCUUAUCUUACGGCCAUUGUCUUGACUGACAACAAAAUUUGUCAAUGUUUGGAAAUUGGUUAGUUCACCGAUUCCCAUUGGCAUCAUUUUUAUUGAAUCUGCACCUCUAAUGUCAAGAUGCCUUAGGUUAAUUAAAAAUCUCAUUUCAGAAGGAAACUCUUCAAGACGAGAACACCCCGCAACAGCAAGGUCUCUAAAUUGUAAAGCUUGCAUAUUGAAUCCGGUAGAGUUUUGAUUAUAGUGCCAGAAAAAUUUAGAUAACGCAGAUGCACCAAAUCUCCAAUAAUAUUGGGAAACUCCGUCAGGUAGCACCCUUGUAAAGAAAACACCCUUAAGUAUUUAAAUUCUGGCAACAACUCACUGAGAACUUGAUUAGAGAUAUACCUCCACCCUUCGGGCAUCUUCAACGGUAGGAAGGUUCUUAAACCCUUCUUUCCGUAAAAGACUUGGAACAUUUUAAUUCUGUCUUUCCUACCACCAAUGUAAGAUGAAUGGCGAGCAUGACUGGAAACGUUCAAUGCCUUGUCACCCUCCACUCUGAAGCAUAUAUCUUUGGCAACUGAAUGAGCCAAAUCAUUAAUCAGAUCAUGCAUUAUAUAUCGAGAAUCAUCCUUGUUGGAUAUUUCAAAAAAUGACCUUUGUACAAGUUCUUGAAAGUACUCAUGACCCAAAUCUUCAUUUGCUUUGUAGCUUCCACUCGCAGAAAGCCUUCUGCCAUCCAUAACAAGACUAUUUCUUCCUCGGUAAAUUCAUAGUCUUUGGGGAGUAAGGCACAGUAAGCAAAACAUCGCUUUAGAUCUGCAGGAAGAUGAUGAUAGCUUAAUCGUAAAGCUUGAAAUAUGUUACUCCUCUCUUCUGGUAAAUUCCAAAUCUCACUUUUUAGUAUCUCUUUCCAUUUACCAAUGUCCACCUUAUUGCGCAAAAGGCCUCCAAUGGUCUUAGCUGCCAAGGGCAAACCCUUGCACCUUUUCGCAAUCUGUACAACAAAUUCUCCCAAGUUUGGAUGCCCACUAAAAUCUUUUGCUCCUAAUGCAUGUUGAGUUAAUAUAGAAAUGCAAUCAUCAUCUGACAACGUUGGCAGCUUGUAAUCUGGGAUAGUACCCACCAUUGAUGAAACAGUUUUAUCACGUGUUGUCACAACAAUCGUAGUUCCUACGCCAAAAGGGGAUAUUAGACGACUCCAAUCAUCAUAGUUUUGAAGCCAAAAAUCAUCCAAAAUCAGAAGUAGUUUUUUCUCCACCAGCUUCUUCUCCAAUUCUGUUUGAAGCUUAUUCAAAUCAUCUCCAGCAUUAGAAGAUUCAGAACUAACUGAUCGCAAAAUUGAUUUCGUUAUCUCCUCCAUCUUAAAGUCUUCAGAAACACAGACCCAUGCUUUAAGAUCAAAAUGAUUAUCUACACGACUAUCAAUUGUAGACAAGCUGAGCAAGCGUUGUUUUGCCAAUCCCUCCCAUGCCAACGAUGGGAAUCACAGAAGCUCCAAAAAUAUUGCUAUUAUCACUCCCAAAAUCAAUUCAAGGAUUGCUUCCUAUUCUUUUUCCCGACCGCAGAUUUGAGUUUUCAUUCACAAGCAAGUGGUUGAUCGCCAUUCCAAUGCUCUUUUUCGCCUCCCACCACCACUUUUAGUCAAAGCCCAAGACACCUUUUUGUGCUUCUAAAUUUUGAAAUCUAGCAGUGAUUUCUUUUAUCUUGACAUCAUUUCCUUAUUAAAUGAUAAAUGACUGCUGAACCUGGUAACGCAAGUAUGAACGAGCUUUUGUACCUUACUGGCGCUGUGAUCUUGAUGUUCCCUCUUUAACUUGAGUCGCAAAGCUUCUGUAGCAAACUCAUCCAAUAUGUCAUCCGCAUCGUAUGCCAAGUCUUGAAGCUGGACCAACCAACUUUUCACAUGCCGGUCCUUCUCUGCAUCAUCUAGCACUGCAUGAAUAUUGUGCAAAGUCUUUUCCCACUUCUUGAGUUCCUCGCAAACUUCCUUCUCAGUUACAAAGUUGAGAAACUCAGAAGAGGCCAACUUACUAAACAACCCUUCAAAGAACACAGAUAAAGCAGCUUCAACGACGGACAUGGCUUUUGACCUGCAAAAACACAGAGAUUAUGUGUGUAAACUUGAAACAGAUGAGGGAAAAAAAGGUGGUGCAUCCAAAAAGAAAGAGAUGCUCAAUCAGUAAUUUAUGAAGGGCAAUGGGUAGUAGGCUUUACUCUACGCCAUUCUUAUCAGNNNNNNNNNNNNNNNNNNNNNNNNNNNNNNNNNNNNNNNNNNNNNNNNNNNNNNNNNNNNNNNNNNNNNNNNNNNNNNNNNNNNNNNNNNNNNNNNNNNNNNNNNNNNNNNNNNNNNNNNNNNNNNNNNNNNNNNNNNNNNNNNNNNNNNNNNNNNNNNNNNNNNNNNNNNNNNNNNNNNNNNNNNNNNNNNNNNNNNNNNNNNNNNNNNNNNNNNNNNNNNNNNNNNNNNNNNNNNNNNNNNNNNNNNNNNNNNNNNNNNNNNNNNNNNNNNNNNNNNNNNNNNNNNNNNNNNNNNNNNNNNNNNNNNNNNNNNNNNNNNNNNNNNNNNNNNNNNNNNNNNNNNNNNNNNNNNNNNNNNNNNNNNNNNNNNNNNNNNNNNNNNNNNNNNNNNNNNNNNNNNNNNNNNNNNNNNNNNNNNNNNNNNNNNNNNNNNNNNNNNNNNNNNNNNNNNNNNNNNNNNNNNNNNNNNNNNNNNNNNNNNNNNNNNNNNNNNNNNNNNNNNNNNNNNNNNNNNNNNNNNNNNNNNNNNNNNNNNNNNNNNNNNNNNNNNNNNNNNNNNNNNNNNNNNNNNNNNNNNNNNNNNNNNNNNNNNNNNNNNNNNNNNNNNNNNNNNNNNNNNNNNNNNNNNNNNNNNNNNNNNNNNNNNNNNNNNNNNNNNNNNNNNNNNNNNNNNNNNNNNNNNNNNNNNNNNNNNNNNNNNNNNNNNNNNNNNNNNNNNNNNNNNNNNNNNNNNNNNNNNNNNNNNNNNNNNNNNNNNNNNNNNNNNNNNNNNNNNNNNNNNNNNNNNNNNNNNNNNNNNNNNNNNNNNNNNNNNNNNNNNNNNNNNNNNNNNNNNNNNNNNNNNNNNNNNNNNNNNNNNNNNNNNNNNNNNNNNNNNNNNNNNNNNNNNNNNNNNNNNNNNNNNNNNNNNNNNNNNNNNNNNNNNNNNNNNNNNNNNNNNNNNNNNNNNNNNNNNNNNNNNNNNNNNNNNNNNNNNNNNNNNNNNNNNNNNNNNNNNNUUUCAUUAUUUUUUUAUUAUUUUAUUAUUUAAAUAUUAAAAAUUUUUAAUUUUUCAUUUUAAUAGCCUUAAAAUUUGAAUUCUUGUUUGUCCCUCUUUGAGAAAGUCAAUUCUAAACCUCCUCCAAAAUUUUUCUUAAAAUCUAGAGGAAAUCUCAUCAAUCUCUCUCAUUUCGAACCUCCAAAACACCUUCUUUAUCCAUCCAUAACCACCGAAGUAGCCUAAAACCCUGGUCAAAGCUUCCAACUUAUUACAAACCUCUAACUUUUGUGAAAACCUUGAAAAAUCUAAUCUGUCAUAGUCUGUCAAUAAGCAUACCCUACUAUCACUCACCACAUCACCUUGCCUUGUCACCUAAAUCCACAUCACUAGGCAUAUCAUCCAACCACAUCAUCUCAGCUAUAUCACCUUUCCAAAUCCAACCAAAACCGUAUCUAUGGUCAAAGUCCAACCAAAACUCUGUCCAAAAAGUCCAAUCAAAUCAAAACUCUACUCAAAGAGUCUUAAUCCAAUCAAAACUCAACCUUAAAAGCUACCUGUUUUACCAAAACACUCUAAAAGGUCCCGACACCCAAAUUUUGUUCGAAGAGUACAUGUCAGACUAAAAUUCUUUCAAAGGGCUAAGAUUCUUUCAAAAGGCUUAAUCUACCUCAAGCUCGAUCUUAACCCAUAAAGUUAUAGUCAAGAUGAAACACAGCUACACUAAACCCAACUCACAACCCCAGACCUAUAGUUGUCCUAUUGGAUCUUGUAUUAGGACAAUCUUCUCAGGUAUAAUUCUUAAAAUCUUUAGACAUCUUAGACCUCUUAUUAAAUUACGUGCAAGUGACAUCCUCCAUGACCAAAUAUCAUCUAGUCUUAGGCACACAUAACGUAAAACAUUUAGUUAUAAUUAGGACUUAUUUUCUAGUUAAAGACAGUGAAAAUUUUUGCAAUGGAAACUCAUGUCUAGCAUGUGAUGUAAAAUCUUGUCACAUAGAUUAGAAAUAAAACGAUAUGUUCUAAAUAUGCCCUUGAGGCAUCUUAUUGAACUAUCAUCUAAGUAUGUCAUUUAUAAAAGAUCACAUUACAUGUUUCUUUGGUUAGUCUUUAUUGUCUUUGCAAUAGAACGGAAUGAACUACUUGAUUUUAAUACAAUUGUUUGACAACACAUUGUUUGCAUCAUUUAAUGAUUGAUAAAAAACUCAAGGUUGUCAUCCUACAAGUAUUUUUCUAGAUGCAUACGUGACAACACGAAACAUAUAAAUAGUUUAUACAAAUUGCUUGUCAUCAAGAAUAAAAGGAAAGGCAUGCUCUUUAAUCCAUAAGCAAGUCAAGAUGUUGGUUUGACAUGGAUAAGUAAAGGCUAGGCUUAUCUCUAACAAGGUUUAGAGCAUUGAUUCCUCUAAUAUCUUGUUUACUAUUUUUGAAUUAAAUUUUUUGAUUAAAAUGAUUGUUACCUUGAAAUCAGUAUUGAUUCCUAAAAUAUAAAUAAAUUGAUUGACAAUUCAUAAUCAAAUCUUAGUUCUCAACAUUGAAAAGAGGUGAAACCCGCAUCGCUCACAUCUUUGUUUAAAAGAGCAUUUAAAAUAAAGAAAAAAUAAUAAAGUUUUAAAGUUCUUCAGACAAACGUAAUAAUUGUCUAUGUUUUCACACAAUUUCUGUUUAAUAAAAAAUAUGCAAUGAUAAGUAAUUAUAGACACACAAUUUAAUCCAAUGAUUAAAUUUUAAGAAAUUCAAAAGUGUUCAAUUUUUUAAAAAAAUUUCUAAGUGAAACUUUUCUAAAUUUCAUCAAAAUGUUGGAGAAUUUAGAAUAUUAUUUCAAUAUUACGAAUUUUCAUUUAUUUCUAUAAAUAAAAAUGAACAAAUUAAUUGAUAGAAAAUUAAUUGAUAAAAUAAAAAAGGGAUAGAAGAGCUAAAAAUGUAAUAGAUAAUUGUAAAUGUUUUUAUCACAUAAUACUUAAUAAAUUUUGGAGUAAGUGGGGAAUUUAACUGGUUAUGAAAUUUUAAGAAAGUUAGAGCAUGAAAUUUUUUUAAAAUUUUUUAUGUGAGUAAAACAAUUUAAAAAGAUUAGAAAUACAAAGAUUUCCACUUUAUUUCCAAAAAUAACAAAAUUAAAGGAAAAAUGAUGAAACCUCUUAUAAGAAACGAACAUAUUUUCUUUAAGAUCUAUUGAAGUGAAAAAACUAUUUAGAGGUUCGAUCAAAGUGUUAAAGAAAACAUAAGAAAAAUUUUAUAUUUAAAUAAUAAAUAAAGUAAUGAGAAUAUAAGAAUAGAUACCAAUUUAAUUAAGACUAUUAAAGACAAUAUAAGAUUAAUUGAUAUCAUCUUUGAAUGGUCACUGUGAGAAAUGUUAAUUACAUCCUAUAAACUUAAUUCUGUAAUGUAAACCAAAACUUAUUCUUUUAAGAUCUUUUAGUCAAACUUAAAAAUCAUUUUAAAGAAUAAAUUUAUUUAAGUAAUCAAUCACACCUAAUCAAAAAUUUUGAUAAUUACUUUAUUAAUAUUAGUGAUCAAAUCCACAAUUCCUCAUGUUAUAACAAUAUAAUCAUCAUUGGUUUAAUAAUUAUAAUAUUGCUUCUAAUUGAAAAGAGAAUUUCCUCAUAUAGACAGGGAAAAAUGAUUAUUCUGAUCUUUAAUGAUUUUGAAGGCAAGAAGACUUGGAUCUUAUGAAUUACAUUGGGGCGAUAGUUAUCGUUUCUCAUUUCAUGGGUAAAAAUUCCGAUCAAGUGAGUUUUAUUUCUUCAAAAAUAAUGUGUUGAUUAUGAUUCUCAUGCAUUUUUUACUCUCAAAAUUAAUUUAUCCAAGUGACAGGAUUUGGAAGCGUUAAUAUAGUUAGCAUCAAUUUUUAUAAUACGCCUCAUAGGCCUGAAGAAGAGGAAAAAUAGCUCUUCGAUCAAAAAGAAAUUUUGCCCGUUAACUCCUAAUUUCUUUGCUAACCGAGUUAAGUCCGAAAAUUUAGAAGAAUGAAUUCCAAUAGCUCCCUCUUCUGGUAGCAAUGAUACCUGAUGUAUACUAAAAAUUUAAACGUAAUAGUCAGUGAUAAGUAUUCAAAAUUUCAAAGCAUAAAGCAAAAUAUGUGUUCAGCAAGCAUUACAAAAUAAAACAGUAACAAGAACUUGAUGAAGAGGAAAACAGCUUCUCGCAUAAAAGAAAUUAUGUCGUUAACUCCUAAAUCUCCUGCUAUAAUGAACCCUAAAACUCUUUCAAGUUAAAGUUCGAAAACUCAAAAGAUUGUGUUGCCAACAGCUCUUUUUCGUUGCAAUAAUACCUGAUAUAAAUUAGAAAUUUAAACGUAAUGGUCAAAGACAAGUAUAUAAAAGACGAAGCAAAAUAAAAGUUUAGUAGGCUUACACAAUAAAGCAGUAACAAGAACCUGAUGAUGAGGAAAAAGGAACUUUUCACAUAAAGGAAAUUCUGCCGUUAACUCCGAAAUCUCCUGCCAUAAUGGACCCUAAAACUUUUCCCAAGUUAAAUACUGAAACUCAGAAGAUCGUAUUGCCAACAGCUCCUUCUUCUGGUUGUAAUAAAACCUAAUAUAAACUAGAAAUUGAAACAUAAUAGUUAGACAUUGCCUUCAGCUGUUUGGCCUAGUGGUCAAGACAGCUUUUCAAAAGGCAUCAUGGUUGAGGUUCAAACCUCAACCUUCCCCUCUCCCCUUAAUGUAAGGCUCUGUUCCGUUGAAUGAUAAAAAAAAACAAAAAAGUAAUAGGUAUUCAAAGCAUGAAGCAAAAUAUAUAUUCAACAAGUAUUACAAAAUAAAACAUUAACUAGAUCUAUUUACGUUAACCAUAUGGUAGUAUCAAAGCAAAUGGACAACAUAGCCAAAUAUGGAUGAAAUAAAUAUUCAAAAAUAAAUUUAUAAGUAUUAAAAAACAAAUAAAUUUCAUUGUUAUAAGGAAACCAAGUUUUAUUGUUACUAAUUCAUUUGCUCUCGUGCUUCAUUGCGAGAUUUAUUAAUUUCUAAAUUUUUAUAAGCAAAUAGGUACAAGGAUUAAUAUACUAAAAUAAACUAUAAUCGAUUCCUCUUUUUGCAUAUUGUCUUUUGUUUAGUUUUUUUUUCCCUAAAAUGGGCAACAAACUUAAGUAUUAUGAGUUAUGACAUAAUACACUUUAAAACAAGAACACGAACAUUCAAUAAAGAUGCAAUGCCACACAGCACGAAUAAGACAAUACAAUAACUUUAAAAAUAAAAGAUAUGAAUAUGAUAAAACAUGAUAAUAAAAAAUUUUUUUAUAUAUUUUUAUGUUAAAAUACUCAAUGUAUAUGUAAAUAUCAAUUUGUAAUGUUUCAUUUUUUUUCAAUUUAAAAUUAUAUUUUAUAAUAUAUAAAAUAUUCUUAACUAUAUAAGAAAAAAUUUAUUUUUAAAUACAUACAAGAUAUUAAUUAUUUCAAAAUGAUGAAAUAACAAUAUAGCUCAAACAACGAAAUAAUGUAUUUAAUUUUUAGAAAGUGCGACAGGUUAUAUUACUUUCUAAUUUCAUUUUUUCUUUUUUACUUUUUGGUGUAUAAAAAAAAGCCAAAAAUCACGUUUGGUCUACUUAAACAUGCCUACCCCACCCAUAAAAGACCCACUCUAUCCCUUAUUUUUCUUUUUCUUUUCUUUCCGUUCUUGCUUUUUUGCAUUUCUUCUUUUUCUCGCCUUUUUUAUUUUCCUGUUUUCUUUCUCUGGCUCUUAACAGAUUUUUGACAACCGCUGUCAUCAUCACCGCUAUCAGCCUUUGCCCAUGGACAUUGAAAAAUUAUUUAAAAAUUAUCAGUAAAUUCAUCUAACCUUUUUCUUUCUUCUUAUCUAACAAGAUUUAAAAAAAAAAAAAAAGCUGAAAAAGCCUAGAUCUAAAAAACCCUGUCGAGAUGGUGUGCAACAAGAUUUUUAUUUUUUUAUCGUGUCCUAGCUUGGUAUGUAUGUAUUUUACUGUAUCAACAGUGUGUUCGUGUCGAACACUAAUACAACAUCGGUACAGAAAGAGUAGCCGCAUGUCUGUGCUUUGUAUAUAUACAACGGGUGAAGCCAUGAGGCGUGAGACCAGAUCGCUCCCUUCUCCUCUCUCUCCUCCUUUGCUAUGUCAUUGUAGGUGUUAUUGUUCUUUUAGCUCACAUAUCACUUCUAAUGAGUUAAGAGUCACCUAAUUGAUUCUCAAUUUUAAAUCUUUUUACAAACAUAUGAUUUCCAUUUUAACAUUUUAUUCACUUCAACAAAAGCAGAAUGCCUCUUUAAAACAAUUUUAGAACUUUAAAAAAAUAAACCUCUUCUUGAAGCAAAACUUUCAACCAUGAUAUGACACCCAAUUUCUACUAAGUUGAUAAAAAAAAACGUAAAUAAGAGAAGUUGCUAACUAGAAAAAUUCCACCGCACCAUAGAAAGGUAUCAAUUAAGUAACAAAAAAUUAAUUAAUUAAUAACUAGCAAUUACCAUCUAAGUGGAAAGUUUCACAUGCUUUCAAGCAAGUUUUACUAUUAUACCAAGAAAAAAAAAUAUUAUUUUAAAAUAAAUUGUAAAACAAAAAAAUAAAACAUACAUGAAGAUAGAAACUGAGAGAAGAAAUUACAGUUUCAAGCAACUUAAGAGAAUUUCUCUCACGAUUGCCAGUGAGGGUAGGUCGAACGAAGAGAAAAUGGUGAAAUAUGGAAGAAUAAGUGUUUAGCUUAUGGAGGAUUUGGAUGUAGAAUAUAGAAAAAAGAACAGCUAAGGAAAGGAAAAGUUAAAAGGGCCAAGAAAGUACGCGGAAGUUUGUUGUUUGAAGACUUGCAUGGCGGUCUUUGCAAAUUAAUAGAAAGUUUUAAUAAAGUUUCAACAAAUUAAUUUGAAAAUUAUGGUAAAAAGAUAAAUAAAAUUGGAAUAAAGUGAAAAAAAUUCAAUAUUGAGUUUUUUUGGAUUAAUUAAUUGAUUAAUUUUAUCAAAUGAAGCACAUUUUACCUAUAUAAUAAAAUAUUUUAAUUUAUUAAUUUGAAUUUUUAUUUAAUUAUUUUUAAUAAAAAUUUUACAAAAUUUAAAUAAUUUUAUCCUAAUUUUUUCUAAGAAUCUAUCAAACUAUCUUACUUUUUUAACCAUAAUUAUGGAGAUAAUUCUCAAUUUAUUUUUUAUUUUCUUAAUAUAGUACCAAAGAGGAUCUUUUCUCUAUCAAGCUUUUUCUUUUCCUUUCCUGCGCCUGUUGAUCCUCCACCACACCAUCUUACUGUGCGGGUUUAAUCUUUUGAAUGUAUAGAUGAUAUAUUUAAAUUUUAUAAAAUGCGUUUAAAUGAAAUUUUUUAUAAUAUUGAAAAUGCUGAAAUUAAAGUCCGUGCGAAGGCCAAUAAAAUUAGUACGAAUUGAUCAGCCACCAAAAACGUCAGUUACGAAAUGUCAAAUCUUGAAACAGAGAGGCAUCCAAUCCCAAUAAAAUCUAAAAAAGGAGAAAGCGAGAUGUGAAAAGUAAUGGAGUAUGGGUAAAAGUUUAAAGGGUAAUCGAAUCGAGCGAAAUAGUGAGAAGUUUGAGUUCGAUUCAUAAUUUAAAGUUUGAUAUUUGAUUUAAAUUUGAUUAAAUUUUAAUUUUUAAGUUUGAAUUUGAUUUAUGAUUGAAUUUAAGUUAUUUGAGUUUAUUUAAUUAAAUUUGAUUAAUAUAUAAAAAUAAAUUUGAUUCGUAUAUUCGAUAAGAAUUUAAUUAUUCAUGCUCAAACUCGAACUUAAAUUCGAACUCAAAAUAUUUUAUUAAUUAAAAUAAUAAAAAUAUAUUUAAAUAUAAAAAUUUGAUUAAAUUCGUGAAUUACUCAAAUAUGAUAUAAAAAUAUUUGAAUUCAAUUUGAUCGAUAAAUCAAGCUAUUCGAAUUCAAAUUCGACUCGAUAAUAAUCAAAUCAAAUUUAAAUUUUUUUUAAUCGAAUCCAAAUAAUUUAUUAAUAUUAAUGUAUUAUUUACACCCUAAUAAAAACCAUUCCUCGUUCAAAAUUUAGGUCAGAAAAAGUAGAAUUUCACAGUCGUACGUACUCAGAAAGAAAAUGAAGUUUGCCGCUCAUUUAUAAUGACAUACAGCUGUUAAGAUAAGGGAAAAUCGAUUAUUUAAAUAUCUUAUGUAAGCAAUGAUGUAAAAAGUUCUAUUUUAAAUGAUUAUAUUAAUUUAAAAUUUAAUUUAAUUAAUUUAUAAAACUAUUUUUAAAAAAUAACACUCAAAACAUUUUUUUAAUUUCAAACGACAACUUUGUUUAUAAAAAAUUUUGUUUAUAUUUGGAAUUUAUACAGUUAAUUUUUUUGUGAAAAAAAUUUAAAAAUAAGAGAAAUUAUUUAAAGUUAGCCGAUAAUCUAUAAAAAAAAAUUACGAAUCAUUUAAGAUUUUUUCAAUUUACAAACUAUCUAUUAAUAAAAGAGUAUAAAAAUUUAAAUUUAAAUAUUUUAUAUUUAUAUUUUAAAUUUUAAUCACUUAUAUGAAUCUCUAUUUUAUAUUAAUACAGUUAAUUUAUAUUUACAUAAACUCGAUUGUGACAAUUUCAUUAAAAUAAUAUAAUCAAAAUGUACUUCUUUUCAUUUUAUUUAUAAAAUCAAAAGAAAAGUUUUUUGCCAAUUAAAUUAAUUUUUAAUCAAUUUUUAACACCUUAAUAUUCAUUUAAAUUUUAUCAUAUUUUUAAUAUAAUUAAUUAAAUUUAUCAUAUCAUUAAUUAAAUUUAAAUAUUAAUUUUAAUAAAAUUCAUUUAAUAUAAAUUUUUAAUUAAAUUUUUUAUUCACAAUUAUAAUAAUUUUUUUAAUUAUAAUUAUAAUAAUUUUUAUUUUUAUUUUUACUAUAAUAAAUCUCAUUAUCCAUCCAAAUAAAAAUUUUAUUUUCUUCAUAUCAUAACGUUACUUUUUUUAGUAACUUAUUUUAAAAGUCAAGUCCUUUCAGGCUCUUUCCUAUGAUCCAUCACGGAUCACAAUUUUCUAUAUGUAGAAUAAAAGUGAAUAUGCAAUAAUUACAAUAAAAAGUUAAUGGUGAAAAAAAUUAAAAAUUGAUUUAAAAUUAUGAUGUUAAAUUUAGUUUAGAUCAAUUUUUUAUUAAAUUUAGAUCAAAUUUAAAUAUUAAAUGUAUAUAUUAAAUUUAGAUCAAAUUUAAAAUUUGAAUAUGAAAAACGAAAAAAAAAUCAAAUCAAAUUAUAUAUAUUUAUUAAUUUAUAUAUAUAUAUAUUUAAAAUUUUUAUAAAAUAAAAAUAAUUCUUUUUUAUAAAUCUAUUUAAAUAUAUUAAAAAUUAGAUUAAAAUAAUAAAUAAAAAUUUUAAAUUUAAAAAUUAAUAAACCAAAUCGAAUUAAUAAAAUUCAAUUUUGAUCAGAUUAAUUCAAAAAAAAAUCAAUUAAAAUUCAGAUCAAAUUUUAAAAAUUCUUAAUAUUAUACAUUCUAAAAAAAUGAACUAAAACCAAUCAAAUCUAAAUAGUUAUCACUCCUAAAAAAAAAUUAUUAUUACCAAAAAAAAAUUUCACGCUAUUGCUAUAUAUAAAAUCCUUUAUUUGAAAUUGAAGUGCACGUUUGGUCAAAUUACCAGCUACUUUAUUUCUUAUCCUUUGAGAAGUUUACUAAGUGUAGAGUGAAAAUUUUCAAGUAAUUUCGACCAAAAAAACCUUUUUUUCAAGUAAUUCCUUAAUUUGUCUCUUUUAAAGAAUGUUUAUGUUUGGUUUAGUCUCUUUAGGAUAUGAUCAUUUGUAAUAUUCCACGAUGAUAAAGCUUGACAUGAAAAAGUACUUGUAAACUAAAAAGUACUUGUAAACUAAACUAGGGAGACUUACAUUAUAAGAAGUCUCUUUAGAAUAUCGUCUUGAAAUAUUCAAAGAUAAUAUUACAAAAGAACAUAUUUAAAGGAGACUUAACACAAUACAAGCAUUCAUUUAAAAAAAAUUAAGAAACUACAUAGAAAUUAAAACCAAUUCCCGGAACCUUCAGCAAUCAAGUCCUACUUUAGUUCCUGUACUUCAGAAGUUUACUAGGUAUUGAGUAAAAUUUUCCAAGUUGCUUCUUUGUCUCCUUUGAAGAAUGCUUGUCUUGUUCUUAAUCUCCUUAAAUAAAUACCUUUUGCAAUAUUCCAAGCUGAUAUAUAGAAUUUGGUACCGAAAACUACUUCUAAACUAUUACAGGAAAUGAAAUUUUCACCACAUAUGUUGACAAAAAAAUGCUGGAAUUAAAGAAUGUAUUAAAGUCUGUGCAAAGGGCAAUAAAAUAAUUGAGGACAAGAGUGAAAAUCAGUACAAACUGAUGAGUCACCACAAAAAGGAGGUACCAAAGGCAUCCAGUGCCAAAGAUAGCAGACGUCUCAGCAAGUCCAUCCACGGCGAGGACAAAGCAAGUACAGUUUCUCAGAUUUACAAGAUAAUAUUUAUGUAAAAAACAAAAGUAGUCUGGAUAAAAACAAUCCCUCAGUGCAAAUUUAACUCAGAAGAGAUAUUGCCAACUAAUGAGGAAAGUAGAAUUUCACAGUCGUACCUAUCGUCAGAAAGAAAAAGGUUGUUUCGAGCUAUUUGAACCAUUCAUUUAUAAUGACAUACAGCUGUGAAGAUAAGAGAAUUAAUUAUUUAAAUAUCUGAUGUAAGUAAUGAUAUAAAAAAUUUUCUUUUAAACGAGGAUAUUAAUUCAAAAUUUAAUUUAAUUAAUUUAUAAAAUUAUUUUAAAAAAUAAUAUUUAUAACAUUUUUUAGUUCAAACUUAAACUUUGCUUACAAAAAAACCACUGUUUGUAUUUUGAAUUUAUGCAGUUACUUAUUUUUGUUGAAAAAAAAUUAAAAAUUAAAAAGAUUAAUUUAUUUUAAAAAUUAAGAUAAAUCAUCAAUUUAUAAGAAGAUUUAUAAAAUUUGUAAAUAUUUUUAAAUUUACAAAUUAUCAAUCAAUAUAUCAUAAAAAUUUCAAUUUGAAUAUUUUAUAUUCAAACCUUAAAUUUUAAUUUCAAACCAAUUUUUUUGAAAUUUAUUCAAUUAAUUUAUAUUAACAUAUACCUCCGGUUAUAACAAUUUGAAUAAAAAAAAAUCAAAAUGUACUUCUUUCAAAUUUAUUUACAGAAUCAAAAGGAAAGUUUUUGCCAACUGAAUUAAUUUUUAAUCAAUUUUUAACACCUUACUUUGUUUAAUAUCGUAUGUUAUUGUUUUUAAUAAUUUAUUUUGGAAGGCAGUCCCUUUAGACUCUUUCCCAUGAUUCGUCCUUGGUCACAAUUUUUAUAUGUAAAUAAAAGUGAAUACUUAAUAAUUACAAUAAAAAAGUUAGGGCUGAAAAAUUAAAAAUUAAUUUAAAAUUAUAAAUAAUUAAAUUGAUUUAGAUUAUUUUUUAUUUAAUUUAAAAUCAAAUUUAAUUAUUAAAUAUAUAUAUUAAAUUUAGAUCGAAUUUAAAUCUAAAUAUAAGAUCUAACUUGAUCUCAAUUUAAAAAAAAAAAAAAACUUUUGACCUUAUCUAAAUUUUUAAAAACCCGCACGUAUUGAAUUGAAGGCAAAUCAAAAAUUCAUGAGAUAAAAGGUUGUUUUGGCACCCUACAUCCAUAGAUUUUUUCUUACAACAUUUAUCUAAUUAAAAAAAUUUAAAAACGUAAUAGAAAAGAAAUGACAGGAAAAAUAAGUUAAAUAGAGAAACAACGUAAUAAUUUUAUUAAUAUAAUACAUAUAUAAUUAUAAAUUAAAAUAAAUAAUAAAAUAUAUAUCUGAACUAAAUAAAUACUCUAAACUUGCAUCUACUUAACGAUGAUUUUUGAAAAUACCUCAAGGUGAUCCCAAAUUUAAAAGAACAUAUUUAUUGAUCCAAAGGAAUCAAAACCUAUUACGUUAGGAAUAGAAUUGUAACCAUAUUUGGCUGCAGGAUUAUUUUAAUUUUUUUAAAGUUAUAUUUCGAAUAUGUGAGAAUUAAAUUUUUCAUGUCAUGUUUUAAAGGAAGACAACAUAUAGAUAAAUAUAAGAGUAUUUAUUUUUUAUUAUAAAUCAUAAAUUAAUUAUAUAUAAAAAUAUGUCUUUUAUUAAAUUAAAUAUUAAAUAAUAUCUUUAUUGAUAUAAUAUAUAUAAAUAAAAAUUAAAUAAAUAAUAACAAAUAUUCUUAUAUAUCUUUAAAAGUGUCGGAUAGAGCGCCUCAAACAUUAUUUUAUUUGACUCAAGUUGUUUAAAAAGAUAAAACUUAGCUCAAUUUUUAUUUAAAGAAAAAAAUGAAUGAUUGGAUUAUGAUAAAUUGAAAUCUAUCACAUACAUGUUGUUUUAUCAUCCUUAUAUUCAUCUUACUCUUUCUUGUAAAUCAAACUUAUAGGCUGAUACGAAAAACAUUAAUUCGACAAUUAAGGAAUUAUUGAUGCAUGCGUGCACGCAUCCAAGUUCAUUUUUCUUUCUUGAUGCUUGUCGUCUUUGACUAUCUUUGUUUGAUUAUUGGACAAAAAUCAUUGUAAUGCCCAACUUUAUUUUUUGCAUUUUUUUCCUUUCAUUAUAAGUUUGAUUAAUACUGUUGCAUGGAGAAAUCAAAGAAAUACAAAUGGUAAAGAAAAUAUAAAAGUGAGGAUAAUCACACAAUUCGCAUUUACUAUUAUUAUUAUUAUUAUUAUUAUUAUUAUUAUUAUUAUUAUUAUUAUAUCCAUGUUUUGAAUGACUUUUUAAAUUUUCGUGCAAUAAUAAAAAACUUGCCAUAUUAUUUCUAUUUAAUUAUAUUUUUCUCUCUUCCACCCACAUAUGGCAUGAAGGUAAGAAAAGCUAUUAGUGUUAAAUGUGUACGAUUAGAUAAAACAAGAACCAGCAACAACUCUGAACAUUUAAAGAUUUAAGAUUUAUAUUUGAUGCAUUAUGUGUAUAAAUGUUAUAUAUUAGAAGUGAAUCACACAAUGAUAUUUUAUAAAAAAUAAUUUUAAAUAUAUAUUUAAAAUUAAGUGUAUUUGUUUUUUAUGAUUUUAAAAUUUUAAAUUAAUUUUUUUUGAAGUGUCAUACAUAAAUAAAUAUGGUUCUAUAUAAUGAUAAUAUAUCAAAUAUAAAUUCAAUAUCUUGUUUUUAUUAUUGACUUUUACAAACCCGAUAAAGAAAAAGAGUUUCCAUCCAAGGUCAGGUUUUCUCUUGUCUAUCAUUUUUCCAUUGAAAUAUAACUAAAUUUCCUUAGGUAUUUUAGCUUUGAGAUAAAACAUUACCAUAAAUUGCCUUAAUUGUUUGGUGCAUUAUCCUCCAUUUAAAAAACAAGAUUUUAAUAUCCGCUCCCCAAUUAAAAAAAAAAAAAAAAAACUACUUCUGUAAAAACAGAAUUUAAUUAUAUUUUAUAUAAGGAAAAAAUUAAUGGAACAAUAAAAAAGUAUAAAUUCUUUUUUUGGUUAAAUAACUCCUAAAAGUAAUUGUAGGUUGUUUAAUUUCGUAGAUGUUAUGGGCACAAUUCCAUCAGAAUUUAAAAUCUUUUAGUAUUUUUGUUUUCUUUUGUAACCAAUAUAUAUAUAUAUAUAUAUAUAUUUGAAAGAUUCAUUUGCCAUUGAUAUAAAACUUUGUAGUUUUACAUUUUUUUAAUUAUUAAUUUCAAUAAAUCUAAAAAAGAAAGAGAUAAUUAAAAAAAAAUUUUUUAUCUCAUCAUUAGAUUUAUUAAAAUCAAUAUUAGAAACCAGUGUAAAAUUAAAAAUUUUUAUACUAUAAUGAUAACUCAAAAAGAGAAAAAAUGAUUGAAUCGCAUCCUCUUAAUUUAUUAAAAUUAAUGAUUAAAAAAUUAUAUAAAUUAAAAAAUUUUAAACUAGAGUAAAUUAAUUCCUUAUAUAUAUAUAUAUAUAUAUAUGAGUAGGAAUUAAUUUAUAAUAAUGUAAUUCUUAUACUUUUUUGGAACAUUUAAAUCAAAAUUAUUAUAUUUAAAAACAUUAUUUUAAUUCAAAUGAGAGUCAAAUAACGAGACAAUACAUGCGAAUGCGGGAUGGUUAUCAUGCAUGAAUCUGCAGCUUAUUGUUUGUUUCCUGAAAUGUUUGGACACAUUCAUCGGCUAAAGUCUAUAUAAGGGAACACUCUUCUUCCAGAUUUUCACAAGUUGCUCAAAUAUUGAGUGGAUUACUCUAAAAUUAGAAAUUUUCAAUGGGAUUGUCGCUUUUCUUUGUUCUUCUAGCCCUUCCUAGCUUCAAUCCUCUUCUUUCUCCAAAAACAUAGAAACAAAAUGCUGCAAGUUUCUUCAUCCCCCUGGCCCGUCUGGUCUUCCUUGAUCGGCAACUUACUCCAGCUUAAUAGCUCAGCGGGCUACUCAUAUUUAUCUUUGGGAGCCUCUCUCAAAAAUAUGGUCCUUUAAUGUCCUUGCAACUUGGUCAUAGACAAACUCUAGUAAUUUCUUCGGCAAACAUGGCCAAAGAGAUCAUGAAAACCCAUGACCUCGAUUUUGUAGCAGGCCUACUUUAUGUGGCCAGCAAAAGUUAUCUUAUAAUGGCUUAGAUUUGGGUUUUUCACCUUAUAAUUCUUAUUGGAGAGAGAUUAGGAAAAUAUGCGUCGUCCAUCUCUUUAACCCUAACAGAGUGUUACUUCAUCGUCCCAUUCGAGAAGAUGAAGUUGCUCAAAUGAUCGAAAAGGUAUCCAAAGCAUCAGUCGGUUCGAAACCAAUCAAUUUGAGUGAGGCAUUGAUGUGUCUUACAAGUAGAAUAAUUUAUAGAGUAAGUUUCGGCAAGAGAUAUGAAGAAGAAGGAACUGAAAGAAGUAGAAUUCGAUGCGUUGCUUAAGGAAACUCAGGCCAUGGUUGGGAGCUUCUUCUUUUCUGAUUAUAUCCCUUUCAUGGGUUGGGUCGAUAGACUCUCCGGUUUACUUGGUCGUCUAGAAAAAAAUUUCAAAGACUUCGAUACCUUUUAUCAAGAACUCAUUGAUGAACAUCUUGAUCCAAAUCGGCCAAAACCCGAGCAAGAGGAUUUUCUUGAUGUUCUACUACAAAUAUGGAAGGAUCGUGUGUUUCAAGUUUGAUCUCACUUUCGAUCCACAUAAAGCUGUGCUGAUGGUAAUCGAUCUUCACUCAAAACUUAUUUUAGUUAUUUUUUAGUAAAUUUUAAUUCAAUCACGAUUUUUUAAAAAAUGUUUCGUGUUCAUCAUUAACCUAAAAAUCUCUCCUCGACAUUUUAAAAUUGUUUCAAAUUUCAUUUUUUUGUGCAGUCAAAAUGUUAGAAGCUUGAUGCAAUUAGGCACUUCUGUUCCAUGUGAAUGUUCAAAUGAUCAAUCAAUCCACAAUUUAAAUACACAUGGCACUAAUUGUCUGUUAAAUAUUGUCAAGAAUUUAAUGUCACAUUAAUUGAUGGAGGAGGAAGCAUGUAUUUGGAAUAAUUUAAAAGAUCACAGAUGGAAAUUUGAAAUUUAAUUAAAUUGAUUUACAUAAUAUUAUUUAAUUACAAAUUUGAGAUUUAAAAUUUUAGUAAUAUAAUUUAACCUUUUUCCUCAUUUUCAAACUACAGCCCUCUUUUAAAAAAAAGAAAAAGAAAAACAGAAUUAGUAAUGAUAAACAUGAAAGUUUUAGGUUUAAGGCUGAAAUGAAACAAUAUAUUUAAAAGUCUCAUAUUGUAAAUAAAUGUACUCAUUUAUUCAGGGUUAUCAUUAAUUUUCUAACUUCCUAGUAGGAGUACGAAUUGUACCCAUUUUGUUUUCUUUUUAUGUACGGAUGUAUUUGUUGGUGGGACCGACACAGUGCUGCAACCGUAUUUGGGCAAUGACCUUCCUAAUGAAGAAUCCUAGGUCUUAGAAAAAGUUCAAAGGAAAUCAGAAAUCUCAAUGGAAAAAAGGUUUCGUAGAUGAAGAUGAUAUUCAAGGUUUGCCAUAUCUUAAAGCUGUGAUAAAAGAAACAUUCAGAUUGCAACCAACGGCUCCAUUAUUAGUGCCACGAGAACAAUUAGGAAGUGCAAUAUAGCCGGGUAUGAAUACCUGCCAAAACACUAGUUUCGGUGAAUGCAUGGGCAGUAGGAAGAGAUCUGAAGCUUGGGAAAACCCUGGAGAGUUCUAUCCUGAGAGAUUCAUUGGCAGCUCCAUCGACUUCAAGGGACAUGACUUUGGGCUCAUACCAUUUGGUGCUGGAAGAAGGGCUGUCCUGGAAUACAUAUGGGAGUUGCAACUGUAGAGCUAGCCCUUGCCAAUCUGCUUUGCAAAUUGAUUGGGAAAUGCCGGUUGGGACGGACAAGGAUGAUUAGACUUUGAUGUGAUACUGGUCUUGCUAUGCACAAAAAAAAUGCUCUUUUCCUUGUAGCUAGGAAGUUUAAUGUUUGAUUCGAUCCAUGUAAGGUUAAAUUAGUUUGCUGCUUGCUAUGGUUUGGAGUGUUUCAAUUACAUUUUGUGUUUUGAGUGUAUUUUAUGAUAAAAUCAAUGUCCACAUGUGUUGGUUAUGAAGAGUUAUGUCUCAUAGACUUGAUUUUGUGGAAGUUAUAACAGAAUUUUGAAUAGUUUAACCACAACCAACAAAAAUACAAAUUGGAGAUUAGAUUUAUUAAUAAAAACCAAAUUUAACCAAUUGAAAUAUUUAAAACAAAAUUCAUCCAUUUAUUAGGAGUUAAAUUUGUGACUAUGAUUAAGUCAAGUAAAAAUUCCAUUGAACUUCCACCAAACUGAAUCCAUGGGUAAAAACUCUUGAAAUGAUAAUUUUUUUUUUUUACAUAAUUUGUGAGCGUGUUUAAAAAUUCAAUUGAAUUUAUUUAGAUUCUAAUUGCAUCGGACUAUUUAUAUGGAUAUUUAGAUUUAAAAGAUCCGUAAUUUAAUUUAUUUUGAGCUUGAAAUCCGAAGCCAAUGUAUGCCCAACAUCGAGGACCCAAGUUUUUAUAUUAAUUAAGUUUUAUUCAUUUAAUUUAAAAAGUAAAUAAAAGGACGAAAAUCGAAAUAAAAAAUGGUGGCAGUGAUGUGAUGCUGCCGUGAAUGGCACCAUCCGAAGAGAGCGGCUGGGCUGUCGAUUCAUGCUGCCAGCCUCCCCCUGCAGCUUCACUCUUCCCUCCCGUGAUCACUUGUUCAGGGUAAUGGUAGCUAAUCCACCGUACUAAGCAACCAAAGUAGAGCUUAACAGGAAAAAUCAAAAUUUUUAAUUAAAGUGAAGUUUGAAAACCAAGAACGCAGAAGAUAGGAUAGCAAAAAUUAUGUAAUUUAAGAAAUUCAAAUAAAAGAUCAAAUAUUUAAAUUUGAAAAUUUAAAAUUUUAAAAUUAUGAAACUCACCAAAACAUAGUGGAAUAAAAGACAUAAGCUUUUUAAAUUAUUACUAUAAUUUUUCAUUAAAUUAAUUUGUGUUUUAAUAUUUUAUAUUCAAAAUUAUUGCAUAUUUUUUUUAUCAAAAUUAUAUCCAUUAAAUAUAUAAUAAUAAAAUAAUUUUCCUAGCAAAAAAAAACUUUUUUUAAAAAAUAAUUACAUUAAUUACAUGAAUCUUAAAUUAUAUAUUUGAAUAUUUAUGGCUAUGGAGCUGAGGUUUGUACUUAUUUGUGUAUUAUCAUUUUGUGAUUUGAUUGAUAGAUUAUAUGCAUUCACUUGAUACAAAUGAUAAAUCCAAUCUUGGGGUGUGAGUGAAUUGGUUAUAAUCAAAAGAUAGUGGAAUUGAACAUGCUAAUUAAUUAGAAACUGAAUGAGUGUAUGAUAAAUCCAAUCUUGGGGGGUGAGUGAAUUGUUAUAAUCAAAACGAUAGUGGAAUGAUCGAAUGAUAAUUAAUUAGAAACUGAUUGAGUCAUCUGUUUUAUGCAGCACUACCAACUAUGGUUGUCUUGAGAGGUCAUUUGAUCUGUUAGGCAAUAGUUGUGGGUAGUAAAAUCCUGAAACUGAACUUCACUUCUAUCAUCCCAGACUAGUAUGAACUAACUGUCCCUUCAUCUUCUAAAGGGUAAAAAAUCCAGACACUUGUUUUUUAUUUUUAUUAAGUUGUUGUUAUGAUUUAUUUUACAGGUAAUGCUUGAAUCCUAUGAAGCAUGGACACGGACAUGUUUACGAUAAUAAUAUUAUGGUGACAUCAUGACAAUUUGUGAAAAUAAGGAUAUGGAUAUGGCAAGAUAGAUAAUAAAAAAAGAGUAUUUUUUAUAUAUUAUAAUCAUAUGUUAAAAAUAUAUAAUAGAUAUCGGGUUGAUUUUUAAAGGUCAAUUACCCUUACAAAGAAAAUUUGAUGUAAAUACAGCACUAAAAAAAACAUAGAUGUCUUAUCCCGUACAAGAAUUGUCUUUUUUUUUUUUUUUUCAUUCGAAUCGAUCAAGUUCGAUAUGUAAUGUUUUCCGACAGGUCCAGCUGGUUACGUAUGUCGUAACGAUUAAAGUGUUAACAAUGUAACACAAUACGCAAGAGGUUCAAACGUAUCCUUACUUCAUAAUUGGAAUCUAAACCAUCCAUGACAAAGUUUGACCUUGUAUAUUUAGAAGUUUUGAGUGCUUCGCUUCUUUCCUGCCAAUUAAUUUUAUGUUCUGUUAAUAGAAGCGAUAAGUUUCGCUUUACAGGCAUUCGUUUAUAAAAAUGAUAUGUUUCGGUUCACAGGCAUUUGGAUAGGUUGCAUUAUUUGUGGAGACAACAUAACUUUCCAGUAUUUAAAUAUUAUUGUUCUUUUUUGUUUCAAGUUCUGGUAACCCCAGUUCUUGUACUGAAACAGAAUGUGAGCAGGGAAAAUAAAGAGAAUGAAAAUUACUAACAGAAAACAAAAGUCUGACGCAAUGAAAAAAUUCUAAGCUUGUAAGGAUGGUUUUCCUCCCAUUAUUGAGCAUGAUACAUGCUAGAAUUGUGAUCCCACUGUAGCCAGUUGACAAAUACUGAUAUCCCGCCUUAAGAUUUGCAGUUGUUUGAACAUAGCAAUAAUUAUGAGUCGCAUAAAAAAUUCAAGCUACAAAAAUUGCCUAAAAUAAGCUGUGAUGUUUUUUGCAUUCAUUUUGAAGGAAGUACAAUGCAAGGUUUGCAUAAUUUAUGAGACAAUAUUUGGAGUCGCAUGCUGAUUCAGUUUAGACUCCUUAAAGAAACACAGGCCUUUUUCUCAGGCUCGUUUCACAUGAAGAAGUUGAUCUGAAAUUCUGCAGAAUAAAUUGAGCAUAGUUAUUUAUAAGCUUCUGCAGAAUAAAUGGAUGCUUGAGUUGUGUUCUUUUAUGUCAAGACAUAGGACAUCCCCCUGAUUUGAUGAUUGAAAUGAGCUCCUCAAACCAAUACUUGUGCUUAGCAGCUGGAACACUUUGCCUCGAUCAACGUAGAUGUUUCUUUACGCCGACCCAGAAUGCUUAUAAAGAUCAAAGAAGCAUAUAAAAAUGUUUAGUGCCUACUAUAAAUAGUUAAAAUUCAUACAUAAAGGCAAACAGUUCUCAAAGCAAGUAUAAAAGAAAACCACAUGAAGCUCUGUUGCUUUACAUUGUUUAUCAUAUAACCUCAGGUUCGUCAAAAGCUCAAUCCAGGCAAAGAUUUUCAUUUGUGGCUCCAACAAACUGAAAGAAACUAUCAUCGGAAAAAACAAAGACUUUUGAUCAAUGUUUUAUGGAUCGGAUAUGUUAUGUCAUCAAUAUGAAGAAUUGUGCUAGAGUGGAAUGAAACUUCUAAACAUUAUUGCACAACAGAAUGAUAUUACAAAGAAUUUUAACACUGUUACAUUUCGAAUAUCAAUUUUGCAUUUGUAGAAGGCCCUAGCUCAGCCAAAUUUACCUGCUUGAUGCAGUUCUUACCCUAUCUUAUCAUUUAUGUUUGCACUGCUGACACAGAAAAGAUUUCUGUUGUAGGAAAGGAGCUGCUGCCCUAAGAACUUCAAACCACCAAUGAAUUGAAGUUAUUUCGUCAUGUCAGACAAGUUCCACAACAUCAGAUUUUUGUUUUGAAGCAUUUGGAAUAAAAAUGGCAGUACCAAAAAGGGGAGAAAAAAAAAGGAGAGAAAGGAAUCCUAACAAGGCUGGAAAUUUUCAUUAUGCUAAGUAUUAUGAUUUCUUAUAAUAUAUGGUUUCUGAUCAUAAACAAGGAACCUAUAUACUCAAAGAGUAUGAUAUAUGGGCUAUGGAUGGUGGAACACGAUUCACGGGUAUGGAAUGUCCAAGGCACUUAUUGCCGGUUCUGGAAGAACACCUUAUUCAGUUUAAAAGACAAAAUUAUGGUAAAUUAAACAUAAAAUAUAAAAGAUUUUCCUUCACUAUAAAAGAAGAACCUUUCAAAUGAUUUCAGAACCGUGGAAAUAACUAAUUUUUUUGGCAGUCUGUGUAUAGUUGUAACAUUACCACUUUCAUAGGAAACAAUGUUUCCCUUGGGGGAAUUUUGGCGCCACUGACACUGUCCUCACUCCCAAGUCGGGCCAUAAAUCUUUAAUAUCUCAUCAUUUAAAAAGAAAUUGAGUUCUCAAUGGGUUUGACGCAGAGAUUUUGGUAUUGACUCAUUCAGGCUGCCAUAGGGUCAAUUUGACAGCAGUGAAGGCAAUGCAUGCUUCAGCUAAGUAAACAGCAUUCUUCUUUUUCAGGUCUUUCCAUCCCGCUUUUGCAAAACCACUUUGUGUGCUCCUAAGAAGGCACUACUCACUAGUCUCUGCGAGUCACUGAAACCAGAAUUAGAUAUCAAAUAAAUCUUCAAGCAUAUAAGAAGAUAACAAACAUUUAAUAAUUGAAAACUAUUCUUGAAUGAUUAUGCCAAAAAAAAAAUCAGAAGUCAAUGAAACAAAAUGAUUAAUAGAUAUAAACAUUUUAACAUAUCUGUUCUGUUCUUGAAAUUGUCCUAUAGGGAAUUUUUACCAGAAGACUGAAAGAAAUAUGUUUCAUAGACUACAAAAAAGAAUUUUCCUAAAGUUUUCUAACUUUUAGUAAACAAUCCAAGUGCCAUAGUUACUCAGUCUUUUCUGUGACCAAUCACAGGUAUGGCAGAAGGAAGUACACAUAAAGAAAAGCCAAAGACAUGAGGAUAUCAUGAAUGAGUCAUUAACAUAAGAAAAAAAAAUAUAUAGAAAUAAACUAUAAGACCUAUCCAUUCUGAAACUAUUCCUAAAUUUUUCUUUUAAAAUGGUAGCAAAACAUUGAAUCCAUGUAUCAAACCUGGAGAGAACCAUCUGCAAGUUUCCAAUAACUUCUAAAUUAAAUCAUUAUACUCCAUGACGGAAGGAAGAACCUUCUUUCUCAAUUCUGCAAUAUAGAUUACACUACAAUCAAAAGUUUUGCAUAAAGAGAUUCACUCGUUUCUAACAAAUGGCUUCAAAAUACUGUCCCCAAUUUAAUAACCAGGAUUUUAUCAAUGCUUAAACUUAAAAGGUUAAAGUCUGAAUUUGAUUCCUUUACUACCUCAAUCCUAUCGGUUUAGUCCAACUUCAAUUUUAAUGAAUUUAGUCCAUGUAGUUUUAUUAAACAUAGAUUUUUUAUACAUAUUUCAUUUCAUUGUAAAACAAAAAGCUAUGUGUGUAAUGGAUUGAACUAGUGAACAUUCUAUUAUGAAAUAAAAAAAAUAAUAAUCAAGAAUAUAAAUCACUUGAGCACUUGAUUUAAUAGUACGUUCAUGUUCUUCAAAUAAGUAGCAUAUAAUUGCAAAGUUGACAUACACCUGAUUUCUGGGCGUUUCUUCCGGUAACAAAUUAGCAAUUAGAAUGCAAGGAAUGUGGGCUAUUUUGGGCCACUCUUGUCCUUCAUCCUCCUUGCAUCGUUCUCUUAGCAGUGGACAGUCAACAAUAUCUAGUUGCAAAAGUGAGUCAAACAUCUCCUUUUCCGGAAGGAAUUUGAUCACGGGGCAGCUUCGGAUUUCCAAUGAUUCAAGAAAUUUGAGAUUUUGAAAGCCUUUGGAGGAUAGAGUUUCCAGGUUUGGAAAACCGAAGAUUGUGAGGGAGGUGAGAGUGCGGGGCAGAAGCAUUUCCUCACAUGGGAAAGACACCACAUCUAGAGAAGCACCGUUGAUGGACAAAUGUUUAAGGGAGGUGAGUUUGUGCAAACCCCACUCGAUCACUGACUUGCAAAUAUUGGGUUGCAAGAUUGUAAGUGAAGUGAGAUUGGGAGGGAACCCCUCUUCCGGAAAUGAUAUCACACUUGGACAAUCAAAUAUGAGCAAUUCUCGCAUAGAGACGAUGUUGUGGAUGCAUUUAGGUAAGGCAUGGAGUUUUUCACACCGAGAAAGGCUAAGAUAUCUGAGCUUGUUUAAUUCACGAGGCAAAGAUCUCAAAUUAUCACAACCGCAGAUAACCAUCGAUUCAAGGGAAGAGUUCUCUUCAAUUUCUUGAGCUAUGGACUCUAGUGCUCUGCACUUCUUAUAUCGAGGUAUUUAAGCCCACCAUAGGUAACUUGCCAUUGAUGACAAGGAUGCAACUUUCACAACCAUAAAUGUCAACAUGUUGAAGCCUAAUAGGUAACUCGCCCCUGAGGAUAAAGAUAUCAGAGACUUAUCAAUUUUCAAUCACCAAGUGCUCUAGAAAGAGGCGUGCUGUUGAUGUUGUUAUUUACUCCAUCCAGCAAGUACUGCAAAUUCUCACACUCCUUAAUGGUUAAACGUCUUACGUUUGGAGGCAAGUUUCCAUUUGAAAUUGAAAUCAAUCUUGGGCAUCCCUCAAUUCCUAGCACCGUAAGGGAUCUGUAGCUGUGUAGGCUUUCUGCUAACCUUUCUAGCCUUUCACAACAGUGUAUGCUCAAAUGUUCAAUAUGGCAAGGGAUUCCUAACUGCAUAUGCUCUUCCUUUCCGUCCUCUGCCCCUAUGGAAACAAGUCUUGAGCAAUUAUGAAUUUCCAAAAAGCGAGUAGGCCUCAAAUGUGUUGAGGGUCCUUCCUGGUUCCGCCAUGAAGAAAUUAGCUCCUCACAUCCACAUAUAUAAAAAGACGUUCAGCUUUUAUCAACCCUAACAUCAUCCCCUCCAUUGGAGAAGUGAAUUUUGAAAUGUCUGAAAGAGAGACUCUUUCAAUGAAUGAGCCAGAAUUUGCACAACUUGUAGACGACACCUCUUGGCACCCAUUAAUUUCCAAGUCAGACAACUUUGGAAGGCUUGAGAGUGAAACUACCAACUUCUCACAUUCUUGAAUCACAAGUCUCUCCAAUGAAGGAAGACAACUAGGUAGACUUCUCAGCUGUUGACACAAAUUAAUCUUCAGCUUCUUCAAGGAAGGAAGACGAUUAGGUAAACUUCCUAACAACUUGGGGCAAUUUGAAAUGAUGAGCUCAUGAAGGUGUUGGAAACUCCUUACAUUUUCAUCAACUUCACAGGGAUCCCAUUCCUCCCAUUCUGGCAUGUCCUGAAAACGUAAUCUCUCUAGUGACGGAAAUGCAUUAAUCGAUAGAUCCUUUCCAAAAAUAUUAGCACCCACUUUUUUAACCUUACUCAUCCUCCGGAUAGAAAGCGAUUUUAGCGACGUUAAUCUUCCAACAGCUGGUAAUAAUGUGCAAUUUGGACAGUAAUACAGAUCCAGAAUCGAUAGCUUUCCAAAUGAAGGAUCUCCGAACCAAUUUGGGAAUGUUUCACCUCCAUAACAUUCGAUGGUAAGCCUUUCAAGCAUUUUAGGAGGUUGGAGUGAAUCCAAGAUGUCCUUGUGAAUUUCUUCUCCGGCGAAAUUAUAACUCCACUCUAAAGCUAAAUCACGAAGGUUCGACUUAUAACAUAACCCAGCCACCCAUGCAUCUUGAGCUUUGACAACAUUCUGCAAUUCUGAAAUAACAAGUCCACCCUUAAGAUUAGACAAAUUCUCCAUCUCCCUUAUCUUACGGCCAUUGUCUUGACUGACAACAAAAUUUGUCAAUGUUUGGAAAUUGGUUAGUUCACCGAUUCCCAUUGGCAUCAUUUUUAUUGAAUCUGCACCUCUAAUGUCAAGAUGCCUUAGGUUAAUUAAAAAUCUCAUUUCAGAAGGAAACUCUUCAAGACGAGAACACCCCGCAACAGCAAGGUCUCUAAAUUGUAAAGCUUGCAUAUUGAAUCCGGUAGAGUUUUGAUUAUAGUGCCAGAAAAAUUUAGAUAACGCAGAUGCACCAAAUCUCCAAUAAUAUUGGGAAACUCCGUCAGGUAGCACCCUUGUAAAGAAAACACCCUUAAGUAUUUAAAUUCUGGCAACAACUCACUGAGAACUUGAUUAGAGAUAUACCUCCACCCUUCGGGCAUCUUCAACGGUAGGAAGGUUCUUAAACCCUUCUUUCCGUAAAAGACUUGGAACAUUUUAAUUCUGUCUUUCCUACCACCAAUGUAAGAUGAAUGGCGAGCAUGACUGGAAACGUUCAAUGCCUUGUCACCCUCCACUCUGAAGCAUAUAUCUUUGGCAACUGAAUGAGCCAAAUCAUUAAUCAGAUCAUGCAUUAUAUAUCGAGAAUCAUCCUUGUUGGAUAUUUCAAAAAAUGACCUUUGUACAAGUUCUUGAAAGUACUCAUGACCCAAAUCUUCAUUUGCUUUGUAGCUUCCACUCGCAGAAAGCCUUCUGCCAUCCAUAACAAGACUAUUUCUUCCUCGGUAAAUUCAUAGUCUUUGGGGAGUAAGGCACAGUAAGCAAAACAUCGCUUUAGAUCUGCAGGAAGAUGAUGAUAGCUUAAUCGUAAAGCUUGAAAUAUGUUACUCCUCUCUUCUGGUAAAUUCCAAAUCUCACUUUUUAGUAUCUCUUUCCAUUUACCAAUGUCCACCUUAUUGCGCAAAAGGCCUCCAAUGGUCUUAGCUGCCAAGGGCAAACCCUUGCACCUUUUCGCAAUCUGUACAACAAAUUCUCCCAAGUUUGGAUGCCCACUAAAAUCUUUUGCUCCUAAUGCAUGUUGAGUUAAUAUAGAAAUGCAAUCAUCAUCUGACAACGUUGGCAGCUUGUAAUCUGGGAUAGUACCCACCAUUGAUGAAACAGUUUUAUCACGUGUUGUCACAACAAUCGUAGUUCCUACGCCAAAAGGGGAUAUUAGACGACUCCAAUCAUCAUAGUUUUGAAGCCAAAAAUCAUCCAAAAUCAGAAGUAGUUUUUUCUCCACCAGCUUCUUCUCCAAUUCUGUUUGAAGCUUAUUCAAAUCAUCUCCAGCAUUAGAAGAUUCAGAACUAACUGAUCGCAAAAUUGAUUUCGUUAUCUCCUCCAUCUUAAAGUCUUCAGAAACACAGACCCAUGCUUUAAGAUCAAAAUGAUUAUCUACACGACUAUCANNNNNNNNNNNNNNNNNNNNNNNNNNNNNNNNNNNNNNNNNNNNNNNNNNNNNNNNNNNNNNNNNNNNNNNNNNNNNNNNNNNNNNNNNNNNNNNNNNNNNNNNNNNNNNNNNNNNNNNNNNNNNNNNNNNNNNNNNNNNNNNNNNNNNNNNNNNNNNNNNNNNNNNNNNNNNNNNNNNNNNNNNNNNNNNNNNNNNNNNNNNNNNNNNNNNNNNNNNNNNNNNNNNNNNNNNNNNNNNNNNNNNNNNNNNNNNNNNNNNNNNNNNNNNNNNNNNNNNNNNNNNNNNNNNNNNNNNNNNNNNNNNNNNNNNNNNNNNNNNNNNNNNNNNNNNNNNNNNNNNNNNNNNNNNNNNNNNNNNNNNNNNNNNNNNNNNNNNNNNNNNNNNNNNNNNNNNNNNNNNNNNNNNNNNNNNNNNNNNNNNNNNNNNNNNNNNNNNNNNNNNNNNNNNNNNNNNNNNNNNNNNNNNNNNNNNNNNNNNNNNNNNNNNNNNNNNNNNNNNNNNNNNNNNNNNNNNNNNNNNNNNNNNNNNNNNNNNNNNNNNNNNNNNNNNNNNNNNNNNNNNNNNNNNNNNNNNNNNNNNNNNNNNNNNNNNNNNNNNNNNNNNNNNNNNNNNNNNNNNNNNNNNNNNNNNNNNNNNNNNNNNNNNNNNNNNNNNNNNNNNNNNNNNNNNNNNNNNNNNNNNNNNNNNNNNNNNNNNNNNNNNNNNNNNNNNNNNNNNNNNNNNNNNNNNNNNNNNNNNNNNNNNNNNNNNNNNNNNNNNNNNNNNNNNNNNNNNNNNNNNNNNNNNNNNNNNNNNNNNNNNNNNNNNNNNNNNNNNNNNNNNNNNNNNNNNNNNNNNNNNNNNNNNNNNNNNNNNNNNNNNNNNNNNNNNNNNNNNNNNNNNNNNNNNNNNNNNNNNNNNNNNNNNNNNNNNNNNNNNNNNNNNNNNNNNNNNNNNNNNNNNNNNNNNNNNNNNNNNNNNNNNNNNNNNNNNNNNNNNNNNNNNNNNNNNNNNNNNNNACUCCGUCAGGUAGCACCCUUGUAAAGAAAACACCCUUAAGUAUUUAAAUUCUGGCAACAACUCACUGAGAACUUGAUUAGAGAUAUACCUCCACCCUUGAGGCAUCUUCAGCGGUAGGAAGGUUCUUAAACCCUUCUUUCCGUAAAAGACUUGGAACUUUUUAAUUCUGUCUUUCCUACCUCCAAUGUAAGAUGAAUGGCGAGCAUGACUGGAAACGUUCAAUGCCUUGUCACCCUUCACUCUGAAGCAUAUAUCUUUGGCAACUGAUUGAGCCAAAUCAUUAAUCAGAUCAUGCAUCAUAUAUCGAGACUCAUCCUUGUUGGAUAUUUCAAAAAAUGACCCUUGUACAAGUUCUUGAAAGUACUCAUGACCCAAAUCUUCAUUUUGCUUUGUAGCUUCCACUCGCAGAAAGCCUUCUGCCAUCCAUAACAAGACUAUUUCUUCCUCGGUAAAUUCAUAGUCUUUGGGGAGUAUGGCACAGUAAGCAAAACAUCGCUUUAGAUCUGCAGGAAGAUGAUGAUAGCUUAAUCGUAAAGCUGGAAAUAUGUUACUCCUCUCUUCUGGUAAAUUCCAAAUCUCACUUUUUAGUAUCUCUUCCCAUUUACCAAUGUCCACCUUAUUGCGCAAAAGGCCUCCAAUGGUCUUAGCUGCCAAGGGGCAAACCCUUGCACCUUUCGCAAUCUGUACAACAAAUUCUCCUAAGUUGGAUGCCCACUAAAAUCUUUUGCUCUAAUGCAUGCUGAGUUAAUAUAGAAAUGCAAUCAUCAUCUGACAACGUUGGCAGCUUGUAAUCUGGGAUAGUACCACCAUUGAUGAAACAGUUUUAUCACGUGUUGUCACAACAAUAGUAGUUCCUACGCCAAAGGGGAUAUUAGACGACUCCAAUCAUCAUAGUUUUGAUGCAAAAAUCAUCCAAAAUCAGAAGUAGUUUUUCUCCACCAGCUUCUUCUUCAAUUCUGUUUGAAGCUUAUUCAAUGAUCUUCAGCAUUAAGAAGAUUCAGAACUAACAGAUCGCAAAAAUUGAUUUCGUUAUCUCCUCCAUCUUAAAGUCUUCAGAAACACAGACCCAUGCUUUAAGAUCAAAACGAUUAUCUACACGACUAUCAUUGUAGACAAGCUGAGCAAGCGUUGUUUUGCCAAUCCCUCCCAUGCCAACGAUGGGAAUCACAGAAGCUCCAAAAUUAUUGCUAUUAUCACUCCCAGAAAUCAAUUCAAGGAUUGCUUCCUUGUCUUUUUCCCGACCGCAGAUUUGAGUUUCAUUCACCAAGCAAGUGGUUAUCGCCAUUCCAAUGCUCUUUUGGCCUCCACCACCACUUUAGUCAAAGCCAAGACACUUUUUUGUGCUUCUAAAUUUUUGAAAAUCUAGCAGUGAUUUCUUUUAUCUUGGACAUCAUUUCCUUAUUAAAUGAUAAAUGACUGCUGAACCUGGUAAACGCAAGUAUGAACAAGCUUUUUGUACCUUACUGGCGCUGCGAUCUUGAUGUUCCCUCUUUAAACUUGAGUCGCAAAGCUUCAGUAGCAAACUCAUCCAAUAUGUCAUCCGCAUCGUAUGCCAAGUCUUGAAGCUGGACCAACCAACUUUUCACAUGCCGGUCCUUCUCUGCAUCAUCUAGCACUGCAUGAAUAUUGCGCAAAGUCUUUUCCCACUUCUUGAGUUCCUCGCAAACUUCCUUCUCAGUUACAAAGUUGAGAAACUCAGAAGAGGCCAACUUACUAAACAACCCUUCAAAGGACACAGAUAAAGCAGCUUCAACGACGGACAUGGCUUUUGACCUGCAAAAACACAGAGAUUAUGUGUAAAAACUUGAAACAGAUGAGGGAAAAAAAAGGUGGUGCAUCUAAAAAGAAAGAGAUGCUCAAUCAAUAAUUUAUGAAGGGCAAUGGGUAGUAGGCUUUACUCUACACCAUUCUUAUCAGAUGAACUAAUUUUACUAUCUAACCAUAUAUAACUUCUUUCAAAGGAUAUAUAACUUCUUUCAAAGGCCUUAUCUUUAUUAACCAAUCCCCACAAUUAACCUUUCAAGCAAACCUUUGCCUUCAAACAAUUCCACUUACUCUUGUCUCUUAAUCUAUUAUCCAACCAAUGAGUAACUAAAGAUGACCAAGAAACAAUCAAGAAAAAUUUUCAAUUCUAAUUCCUGAUCUUUUGCCUUUACUAGCAAAACAUCAGUACAUUACCCUAUGCCUUUGAAAAUAACUCUAAAUCCAUCAGUAGAGAGUUGUGUUCCAAAUAAUAAAUGCAAUUAUCAUAUGAGAUACAACCAAUUGAAAGAAAAGAUUUAAGCACAUAUCAAUAGUUGCCCCUUCACUCAAAGAACUUAUAGAACAAUGGAAAAUAUGCUUUGAUAUAGAUUAAAUUUCCAUUAUGAAAUUUGAGGAUGUGGAUUGUCAUCUCAAACAUUCAAUUUGUAGAAACAUUACAUAUUUUUUAAAGUUUGCAUUUUAAUGUUAUAGGCAAUAAAUCAUUAGUUCUCUUAAUUUUGUUUGCAAUUGUUCAAAUAUAAAUUCCUGCAUAACUUAUUUCCCAAAUGAAUUCUAAGCCUAAAAGCCUCCAAAUUUUCAUUCAACACACCUCAAGCAAUUCUCUUGUCCCUCUUUAACAAACUCAAUUCUAAACCUUCUCCAAAAUUUUUCUUUAAAUCUAGAGGAAAUCUCAUCAUCUCUCCCAUUUCGAACGUCCAAAACACCUCCCUUAUCCAUCCAUAACCACCGAAGUACCCUAAAACCCCACUCAAAGCUUCCAACUUAUUACAAACCUUUAUCUAACUUUUCAUGAAAACCUUGAAGAACCUAAAUCCACAUCACUUGCCACAUCACUAGGCAUAUCAUCCAACCACGUCAUCUCAACCAUAUCAUCUUUCCAAAUCCAACCAAAACUCUGUCCAAAAAGUCCAAUCAAAUCAAAACUCUACUCAAAGAGUUUAAGUUCAACCAAAACUUAACCUUAGAAGUUAUUGUUUCACCAAAGUGCUCUAAAAGGGUCCCAACACCCAAAUUUUGUUCGAAGAGUUCUUGCCAAUCUAAAAUUCUUUCAAAGGGAUUGAUCUAGCUAAAGCUUGGUCUUAACCCGAAAAGUUCUAAUCAAGAUAAAACACAGCUACACUAAACCCAACUCACAAGCUCAGACCUAUAGUUGUCUUAUUGGAUCUUGUAUUAGGACAAUCUGCGCAGGUAUAAUUCGUAAAAUCUUUAGACAUCUUAGACUUCUCAUUAAAUUAUGUGCAAGUGACAUAUCCUCCAUGAUCAAAUAUCAUGUACUCUUAGGAAUGCAUAAUGCAUACCAUUUAGUUAUAAUUAGGAUUUUUUUUUUUUGGUUAUAGGCAGUGAAAAUUUUUACAAUGUAAACUCAUGUCUAGCAUGUGAUGUAAAAUCUUAUCAUAUAGAUUAGGUAUAAAAUGGAAUGUUCUAAAUAUGCCCUCGAGGCAUAUUCUUGUACUAUCAUCUAAGUAUGUCAUUUAUACUAGAUCACAUUACAUGUUUCUUUAGUUAGUGUUUAUUGUCUUUGUAAUAUAAUGGGAUGAACUACUUAAUUUAAUACAAUUGUUCGAUAACACAUUGUUUGCAUUAUUUAAUGAUUGAUACAAAACUCAAGGUUGUCAACCCACAUGUUUUUUUCUAGAUGCAUGCAUUAGAUGCAUGCGUGACUGCACGAAACAUAUAACUUCUUUAUACAAAUUGCUUGUCAUCAAGAAUAAAAAGGAAAGGCAUGCUCUUUAAUCCAUAAGCAAGUCAGGAUGUUGGUUUGAAAUGGAUAAGUAAAUGCUAGGUUUAUCCCUAACAAGGUUUAGAGCCUUGAUUCUUCUAAUAUCUUGUUUACUAUUUUCAAACUAAGCUUUUUGAUAAACACGACUGUGAUAUUGAAAUCAGUAUCGAUUCUUGAAAUAUAAAUAAAUUGAUUAAUGACUCAUAAUCAAUCUUAGUUUUCAACACUAAGAAGAGUACUUAAGGUGAAACCCACAUCACUCACACCUUUGUUUAAAGGAGCAUUAAAAAAUAAACUAAAAUAAAUAAAAAUUUAAAGUUCUUCAAAAAAACCAAACCUCAAUGUAAUAAUUGUCUGUAUGUCUUCACACAAUUUCUAUUUCAUAAAAAAUAUACGACGAUAGACAAUUGUAAAUACACCAUUUAAUCCAAGGAUGAAAUUUUAAGAAAUUCAAAAGUGUGCAAUUUUCUAAAAAAUUUCUAAAUGAGAAUUUUUCUAAAUUUCAUUGAAGUUUUGGAGAAUUUAGAAAAUUAUUUCAAUAUUACAAAUUUUCAUUUAUUUCUAUAAAAAAAUGAAAAAAAUUAAUUUGAUAGAAAAGUAAUCAACAAAAGAAUUUUCAUUUAUUUCUAAAAAUAAAAAUGAAAAAAAUUAAAUUGAUAAAAAACUAAUGGUUAAAAUAAAAAAGGGAUAAAAGAGUUGAGAAUGUAAUUGAUAAUUGUACAUGCAUUUUAUCACAUAAUGCUUAAUAAAUUUUGGAAUAAGUGGGGAAUUUGACUGAUUAUGAAACUUUAAGAAUUGACUGAUUAUGAAACUUUAAGAAAUUUGUGAGCGUGAAAUUUUUUUAAAAUUUUUUAUGUGAGUAAACAAUUUAAAAAAUUAGAAUGUCAAAGAUUUUCAUUUUAUUUCCAAAAUAAAAAAAAUUAAAGGAAAAUAUUAAAAUUAAUUUAAAAUGUUUUAAAAAUAAAAAUGAAUUAUUUUUAUAAAAUAUUUAAUUAAUCUAAUGAGGAAACCUCUUAAAAGAAACGGAAGUAUUUUCUUGAAAACUAUUGAAGUGAAAAAACUAUUUAAAGGUUCGACCAAAAUGUUGAAGCAAAUUUAAGAAAAUUUUUUAUAUUUAAAUAAUUAAAAAAGUAAUAAAAAUAUUAAAAAUAGAGAUAAAUUUAAUUAAGGCUAUUAAAGAUAGUAUAAGAUUAAUUAAUAUCAUCCUUUGAAUGAUCACUAUGAGAAUGUUAAUACCAGCCCUAUAAACUUAAUUCUGUAAUGUAAACUAAAACUUAUUUUUUUUAAAUUUUUUAGUCAAGCUUCAAAUCAUUUAAAAAAAAUAGAUUUAUUUAAGUAAACAAUCACACUUAAUUAAAAAUUUCUUGAUAAUUACUUCAUUGAUAUUUAGUGGUCAAAUUCACAGAUUCGCACAUUACAGAUAUAAUCAUCAUUGGUUUAAUAAUUAUAAUACUACCUACUAAUAGAAAAGAGAAUUUCUUAAUACAAGAGAUGGGAAAAGUGAUUGUUCUGAUCACUAAUGAUUUUGUAACAAGAAGAUUUGCAUCUCAUGAAUCACAUUGGGGUCAGUAGUUAUCAUUUCUCCAUUUCAUGGGUAAAAAUUCUAUCCAAUGAGUUUUAUUUUUUUCAAAAUAAAUGUGUUUGAUAUGAUUCUCAUGCUGAUUUUUUACUCUCAAAAUUAUUUUAUCCAAAGUAAAGAGAUUUGGAAGUGUUAAUAACGUUAGCAUCAAUUUUUAUAAUAAGCUCAUAAAUACUCUUCUCCUUAAAGGUCACUCUUUGGUAGUCUAGUUCUCCAACCUUAAAAGGACAUAAGGGACAGAACUGAUCAUCAAUUCCAUGACUCAAAUACUAAUGUCAACAAAAUGAUUUUAGUUUCUUCUGUCUCACAAAUCCAACCCUUUGGUCAUUGGCUUAGUGUGAAUUCUAUAUAAAAACAUAUAGCAAACUAAAAUAAAAUUCUUCAAUUCAAAUCGAGAAGAAGCAAAAAGAAAGACAGAAAAAGAAGCUAAUGAAGAGGAAAAAUAGCCUUUCAAACAAGAGAAAUUUUACCAUUAAAUCCUAAAUUUCUUGGCACACUAGUUAAAUCCGAAAACUUAGAAGAUUGUAUUCCAAUAGCUCCUCUUCUGGUAGCAAUGAUACCUGAUAUUUACUAAAAAUUUAAACGUAAUAGUCAGAGAUAAGUAUUCAAAGCAUAGAGCAAAAUAUAUAUUUAGCAAGCAUUACAAAAUAAAACAGUAACAAAAACAUGAUGAGGAGGAAAAAAUCUUCUCACACAAAGGAAAUUCUGUUGUUUAACUCCUAAAUCUCCUGCUAUAAUGAACCCUAAAACUCUUUCAAGUUAAAGUUCAAAAACUCAAAAGAUUGUGUUGCCAAUAGCUCAUCUUCGUUGCAAUAAUACCUAAUAUAAAUUAGAAAUUUAAACGUAAUGGUGAAAGACAGGUAUAUAAAAGAUGAAGCAACAUAAAAGUUUAGUAAGCUUACACAAUAAAGCAGUAACAAGAACCUAAUGAUGAGGAAAAAGGAACUUUUCACAUAAAGGAAAUUCUGCCAUUAACUCCUAAAUCUCCUGCCAUAAUGAACCCUAAAACUUUUCCAAGUUAAUUCCUAAAACUCAGAAGAUCUUAUUGCCAACAGCUCUUCUUCUUGUAAUAAUAGCUAAUAUAAACUAGAAAUUGAAACAUAAUAAUCAGAGAUAGGUAUUCAAAGCAUGAAGCAAAAUAUAUGUUCAACAAGUAUUACAAAAUAAAACAAUAACUAGACCUACCUUCGUUAACAGUAUGGAAGUACCAUGCAAAUGGACCACAUAGCCAAAUAUGGAUGAAAUAUACAUUCAAAAAUAAAUUUAUAAGUAUUAAAAAACAAACAAAAUUUAUUGUUAUAAGGAAACCAAGUUUUAUUGUUGCUAAUUCAUUUGCUCUCGUGCUUCAUUGUGAGAUUUAUUGAUAUCUUUAUUGAUAUAAUAUAUAUAAAUAAAAAUUAAAUAAAUAAUAAAAAAUAUUCUUUAUAUAUCUUUAGAAGUGUCGGGGCAGAACGCCUCAAACAUUAUGUUAUCUUGACCCAAGUAGUUUAAAAAGAUAAAACUUAGCUCAAUUUUUAUUUAAAGAAAUAAAAAUGAAUCCAUUAUUUAAAGAAAUAAAAAUGAAUCUAUUGGAUUAUGAAAUAUUGAAAUCUAUCACAUAUAUGUUGUUUUAUCAUCCUUAUAUUCAUCUACUCUUUCUUGUAAAAUCAAACUUAUAGGUUGAUACAGAACGCGUUAAUUCGACAAUUGAGGAAUUAUUGAUGCAUGCGUGCAUGCAUCCAAGCUCAUUUUUCUUUCUUGAUGCUUUCCGUCUUUGACUAUCUUUGUUUGAUUAUUACCCAAAAAUCAUUGUAAUGCCCAACUUUAUUUUUUGCAUUUUUUUCUUUCAUUAUAAGUUUGAUUAAUACUGUUGCAUGGAGAAAUCAAAGAAAUAAAAAUGGUAAAGAAAAUAUAAAAGUGAGGAUAAUCACACCAUUCGCAUUUACUAAAAUUAUUAUUAUUAUUAUUAUGAUUAUUAUUAUUAUAUCCAUGUUUUGAAUGAUUUUUUUAAUUUUCGUGCAAUAAUAAAAAACUUGCCAUAUUAUUUCUAUUUAAUUAUAUUUUUCUCUCUUCCACCCACAUAUGGCAUGAAGGUAAGAAAAGCUAUAAGUGUUAAAUGUGUACGAUUAGAUAAAACAAGAACCAGCAACAACUAUGAACAUUUAAAGAUUUAAAGAUUUAUAUUUGAUGCUUUAUGUGUAUAAAUGUUAUUUAUUAGAAGUGAAUCACACAAUGAUAUUUUAUAAAAAUUAAUUUUAAACAUAUUUUUAAAAUUAAGUGUAUUUGCUUUUUGAGAUUUUAAAAUUUUAAAAUUAAUUUUUUUGAAGUGUCAUACAUAAAUAAAUAUAAUUCUAUAUAAUGAUAAUGUAUCAAAUAUAAAUUCAAUAUCUUGUUUUUAUUAUUGACUCUUACAAACCCGAUAAAGAAAAAGAGUUUCCAUCCAAGGUCAGGUUUUCUCUUGUCUAUCAUUUUUCCAUUGAAAUAUAACUAAAUUUCCUUAGGUAUUUUAGUUUUGAGAUAAAAUCUAUUGUACCCAUAAUUUGACUUAAUUGUUUGGUGCAUUAUCCUCCAUUUAAAAAACAAGAUUUGAAUAUCCGCUCCCCAAUUAAAAAAAAAACUUCUAUAAAAACAGAAUUUAUUAUUUUUUAUAUAAGGAAAAAAUUAAUAGAACAAUAAAAAAAGUAUAAAUUCCUUUUUUGGUUAAAUAAUUCCGAAAGUAAUUGUAGGUUGUUUAAUUUUCGUAGAUGCAUGGGCACAAUUCCAUCGGAAUUUAAAAUCUUUUAGUAUUUUUGUUUUACUUUUGUAACCAAUAUAUAUAUAUAUAUAUAUAUAUAUAUAUGAGAAAGGAUUCAUUUGCAUUAAUAUAAAACUUUGUAGUUUUACAUUUUUUUAAUUAUUAAUUUCAAUAAAUCUUAAAAAAGAAAGACAUAAUUCAAAAAAGAAAAAUGAUUUAAUUUCAUCAUUAGAUUUAUUAAAAUCAAUGUUAGAAACUAAUGUAAAAUUAAAAAUUUUUAUACUAUCGUGAUAACUCAAAAAGAGAAGAAAAUGAUUGAAUCGCAUCCCCUAAAUUUAUUAAAAUCAAUGAUUAAAAAGUUAUGUAAAAUUAAAAAAUUUUAAAUUAGAGUAAAUUAAUUCCUUUUAUAUAUAUAUAUAUAUGAGUAUGAAUUAAUUUAUAAUAAUGUAAUUCUUAUACUUUUUUGGAACAUUUAAAUCAAAAUUAUUAUAUUUAAAAACAUUAUUUUAAUUCAAAUGAGAGUCAAAUUAACGAAACAAUACAUGCGCAUGCGGGAUGGUUAUCAUGCAUGAAUCUGCAGCUUAUUGUUUGUUUCCUGAAAUGUUUGGACACAUUUGUCGGCUAAAGUCUAUAUAAGGGAACACUCUUCUUCCAGAUUUUCACAAGUUGGUCAAAUAUUGAGUGGAUUACUCUAAAUUAGAAAUUUUCAAUGGGAUUGUCGCUUUUCUUUGUUCUUCUAGCCCUUCCUAGCUUCAUCCUCUUCUUUCUCCAAAAACAUAGAAACAAAAAUGCUGCCAAGUUUCUUCAUCCCCCUGGCCCACCUGGUCUUCCCUUGAUCGGCAGCUUACUCCAGCUUAAUAGCUCAGCGGCUACUCAUAUUUAUCUUUGGGAGCUCUCUCAAAAAUAUGGUCCUUUAAUGUCCUUGCAACUUGGUCAUAGACAAACUCUAGUAAUUUCUUCGGCAAACAUGGCCAAAGAGAUCAUGAAAACCCAUGACCUCGAUUUUUGUAGCAGGCCUACUUUAUGUGGCCAGCAAAAGUUAUCUUAUAAUGGCUUAGAUUUGGUUUUUUCACCUUAUAAUUCUUAUUGGAGAGAGAUUAGGAAAAUAUGCAUCGUCCAUCUCUUUAACCCUAAUAGAGUGUUACUUCAUCGUCCCAUUCGAGAAGAUGAAGUUGCUCAAAUGAUCGAAAAGGUAUCCAAAGCAUCAGUCGGUUCGAAACCAAUCAAUUUGAGUGAGGCAUUGAUGUGUCUUACAAGUAGAAUAAUUUAUAGAGUAAGUUUCGGCAAGAGAUAUGAAGAAGAAGGAACUGAAAGAAGUAGAUUCGAUGCGUUGCUUAAGGAAACUCAGGCCAUGGUUGGGAGCUUCUUCUUUUCUGAUUAUAUCCCUUUCAUGGGUUGGGUCGAUAGACUCUCCGGUUUACUUGGUCGUCUAGAAAAAAUUUCAAAGACUUCGAUACCUUUUAUCAAGAACUCAUUGAUGAACAUCUUGAUCCAAAUCGGCCAAAACCCGAGCAAGAGGAUUUUCUUGAUGUUCUACUACAAAUAUGGAAGGAUCGUGUGUUUCAAGUUGAUCUCAC